rnacentral:lncRNA from 1 species
CACAUCAUCCAGAAACAACAGUCUCCUGGAACAUGUAUUGAUACAGCAGUAGCAGUUGAAUUGUCUGUGAUCCGAGACUCCAGUAGUGCUCUCUCUCUUCUGUCAACUCAAUCACAGAAUACAUCUAGUGGUGCAGCAGGCAUUUCUAUGGCUCUACCUCCAGUAAAUGGAGUAAGACACCAUGCUUACGAGUCAACAAAGCAAAAUUCUGCGAAGAAUCUAGGAAUUAAUACUGCAAAAGGCUCUGCAAGUAGUGGCUAUUCAUGUGGGACGAUCGAUGAGGAAGGAAUGGUAAGGGUUCGUGAUGGCAGCAUGCCUGUUUCCUUCAGAGUCCAGAGAGAAGGAACUUUUCAAGUAUCAGAUUAUAGGCAUGCCAACUGUAGUCCUUCUCUUGAAGUUGGGACUCUUGAUCUGCUACAAUUGUCUACACAUUUGAAAAGAGUGGAGCAGCAGAGGAAUUUUUUGCAAGUGGAGGAGGAAAACGAGACUUUCUGCUGCUCUUCUAAUUUGUAAAGGGUAUUGCUUACUCAAGCUGUGAAUAUGUAUGUGUAGUGGAUGAUCUGCAUGUGUGUGUCUCUGCAUUUGGUUGUAAAGAAGAGAAGGUGAUGACCUGAAUAUUGAACUUCUACCAGUUUCCUAGUUGCUAAAAGAAAUGAUUAAAAUGUGAUAGGGGAUAUCAAGAUAGGGGAAAAGGAGCAAAGGGGCAAGUUCAGCUCAAAUUUUCAUGGCCUUCAAAAACCAUUGAACUGUCUCAAAAUUUCUGUGCAUUUAAGUAUGUUCAGCUUAGUUCAUAGGAUGUGCGAUUUUAGGAUUAGUUCAUAGUAGUUCUUGAAUAUGUUGUCAUCAUUGCAAAUUUGUUGUUAAUGGUAAUGUAUAAUAAUGUCUUUGCUGCCAAGAGGGCAAGUUUUUUGUUUUUUGUUUUUUUUUAAAUUAUAGUAUAAGUGGAAUGAAUUCGAAAUCUUUCAUUUAUACUCUCUCCCUGACCACGCAACCUGUCCUUCCCCCUCCGGAAAUUUUCUCCCAUAUUGCAACGCGAAUUAGAACCAACUACGAUCGCCAACUGCACAUCCAUCCAUUUUUUUCAUCAGAGAAAUAACCCUUUCCUCCGGCAGCCCCACCACCCAACUCCACCGAUCUCUUUCUCUCACACGCCUUACAUGGCUGCAGAAGAUUACUGAUAGGAUUCAUAGUGGAGGAAAAUUGGUUGGGACUUGGGGAGGAGAGGAGGAGAGAGAAAACCACUGGGCCAAUGGCUCAGUGGCUACUAGAGAGGGGCUUAAGUCCCUCCUUGGACUGUAGGUGAGGGUUCAAACCUUACCUGUAGCGAAAAAAAUUUAAGGAUUGUGCCAGAGCACUCCCUUGGUCUAGUUGGGUCUGUAUACCUACUAGCCCCUUACCACAGCCUCCUUAGGCUCCCCCUCUCCCCUAAAUUAGGAUAGAACAGGUUAUAUAAAUGUAUCGUUGCUGAUAAAAAAAAAAAAAAAAAGAGAGAGGAGGAGAGAGAAAAUGAUGUUCCAUCAAUUAGAUACCUACAAUUUUGAGCAGACCAGACAAUAAUCUACAUCGCGAUGAAUAGAGGAAUGCAGACCAGACAAUAAUCUACAUGGUGAUGAACAGAGGAAUUGCUAAUUUUUGCUUCACUGGUUUGAAUCCUCGUAAUUGCUCAAAUCUUUGAAUCAACUUUGGCAGCAUAUUCUUGCAAGGAAAAUUGCUUUUCAGUUCAUUGGUUGUUUUGGAAAAGCAUGAUUUUUAAGGUACUUUUAAAGGUUAAACAAACAUCAUCAAAAAAUCAUGAACAACAACAAAAUAUUUGAAAUGGAAAAUUGCAUUCGCAGAAAAACAUUUUACUUUGAAACAAACAGUCCCUAAGUCGUUGCAAAAUAUUACUCAUUUGAUCUUUCUUUAAUUUCUUUUUAAAUGCUUUUUUCAUGUAAUUUUUGAGUAAGGAAUUCUGUCAUAAUUUACAAAUGUACUUGUACAAUAUACGGUCUAUUCAAUUGCCAUAAUAAAUUACUUGCAUCACCAUAUAUCGUACACUUCUAGUUUUAUUAUAUCACCAUACAUCAUAAUUAUAGGUGGCAAAUAAACCCAUUUAACUAAAUUUACCCAUACCCGCCCAUAAAUAGAUGGAUAUGAAUAUCUUAAUUUUUGCAUAUGGGUAUAAAUAGAUUACCCAAUAAUAGAUAGUAUUAGGUAACUCAUCAAACAUAAUUAACCCAUUUAGAAUUGUCAUCCUCCAACCCUCCUCUCUUCCCCACCCAUUUUUUUCUUCAAAUUAUUCAUUUUGUCAUAAUGUUAACUACUUUUAUUUCAUUAUUAUUAUUAUUUGUUUGUUUUAUAUUUUCUCUUAGUUUGUUAACUUGUUCAUUUUUCAGCAUUACCAAUUUAUGACAAGUUUUAGGCUCUUUCCCUACCUUUCCAAAAUGAAAUUUUAAAUUUACACAUGAAAAAAAUGCUAGGGGUUCAAAAUUUUUGAAUUAAGUUUUUAUGUUAACUUUUAUAGUACUUAGUUCAAAUUUUUAUAUUCUUAUUGUUCAAUUAUUAAAUAGUAUGUAAUUUUGCAACAUAGAGUACGGAUGGAAAAAAAUUGAUAAUUAGGCUAAUUGAGCAUUAUAAGUAAAUAUUUAAAACUAAUAAUGGAUGCAAAGGGUGGUAUAUAUUGAUAACUUAGUUUGCAAAAAUGAAUUUAAAUGAGUUUACAAAAAGUUAAAAUAAAUGGGUUAUAAAUGGAUAAUUGGAUUACCCAAUUCAUUUUUUGAUUUAUCCAUUUAUACUCAUCUAAUUAAAUGAGUAUAAAUGAAUUGACUUACUUAUACCCAUUACCUAUUUUAACCAAUCAAAACCCGGUCAAGUCACUCAUUUUGACACAUCUACUCAUAAUAUUGAUCGAUGACUCUGUAGUUCUUGAAUAAACUACGAGCUUUUAUAUAAUAUUUUAUUUCAUUGAAUUUUCUUAGUCAUAUAAGAGGAAUUCAUCAUCAAUAGCCUUAAAAGUUACCGGAAAUACUAUAAUGAAAUUAUGAUUUAAACCUGUAAGAUUCUAAACUUGCCAAAUAACGCCCAAGAAAAAGGAUCAUCCAAUGGGAAUAAAGGACGCAGGAAAGAUGUAAUCCACACACGAGAAAACUUGGAUUACUUGAUAAGUCUCUCGAACCCUAUUUUGGCAUAUAACAGAUAUACUUUGUUCACUUCUUCUUUUUGAAAAUCAUAAAUUCAAACUGAGAGAUAAUUCAAGGAAGAGCAGUGGAUACCAAAUAGGUGGCUUAAAUUACAUGCAACAGUACUUGUUCCACAGCACCAAAAAUUUGAAAUAAUACUACCGCAGCAUUCAGGAGUUUUCACUAGUGCAGUAGUUGAUAAACAUAUUGUAAACCAGCAAAACCAUCAUAAUCAGAAAAUUACUUUGACAAAGAAAGUACUUAAGCUAAACACCCUUGUUGCAUUGCAUCCAUUGGCCAGUCCUCGACGGGCCUCCGAUCAUCCAAUCUUCAAAUAGAUCCCAUGCCAUUGCCGAAGCUGCAACUUCUAAGCCUGUACGCGCAAGCCAAAACUCAUUUCUGGUAAAAUCAAGAUUAAAAGUACAGUUCAUAAUUUUGUUCCACUACGAAAUCUUACAUGGUUGCUAUUGCUGCUCUCGGCAAUGGACCCGGUUGGUGCAGUAGGAAUGUACCUAGCCCACUAUUUUCCAACCAGUGAGAUUUUCAAUCAAAUCUACCAUUUUUUGGGGGUAAAAAUCUUCAAAAGACAACAAAAAUCUUACAUUUUUUGCUGCUGCACUGAAAGCCUCUCGAUGUGGUAUUUCUGGAUUCGUAGCUUUAAUACGUUGGAUCUCCUCCCUUUCACACACACACGAAAGAGAAAAAUGGUUUACUAGAUUUUUUAGGUUAUAGAAUUAACAACCUUGAAAUAUGCAGUAGGAAAUGCAAACAAAUGUAUUAGUAGUGAAAAUGAAGAGAAAUGUUCUCACUUCAUGAACCUAUUGUAGGCAGAUGGAAGCCUAUGCUUCUUCUCAGGGGCUGCAACACAACAAAAUACAUGUAACGAAAGGUGUAGUGUCUAGUUGCAAUAUGUACACUGUGGUAUUCACAAGGCUUUUUGUAUAUGCGGGAAAAAGAAAAGAUUAAAACAAAAAUGAACGAGAGUUUGGCUUACGUUUCACAACAAAGGGUGCUUUGGGGGAUGAUGGUUCACCGGAGGUUGAUGAGGAUGAUGAAGAAGAUUGACCUUUUUUCAAAUCACUGAAGAAAGUCUGUUACAAAAUAUGCAAUUAAUACACUUAGCAAUCUAUAUAUCCACUAACCCUUAUGGUAAAAUGAGAAGCUAUGUGAUGACCACAAGCCAAAAGUACUAGUAUAUGAUCAGGCUUUGUAUUUGUGGGAUAGAGAAACUAAAAAAGCAGUUCAGAAGAUAACCUGAAUGGUUGGCUGAUGUUCAAAACAUUGACCUUGCAGUGGAGGGGGAGGCCUGGUGCUAAGAAAGGAGAGGUUGCCGCAGUGCCCGCAUUUCACUGUCACAGUAUCUAACAACCUUUUGCAUGGAAUUCCAACCUAGUGAUAUUCAAGAGGAGUCUAAUAAGCUUGAAAGUUAGUAGUACUACUUAUUUUGCAUAUUUAUCGGCAUAUUUUGUCUGGGGUAGUGUUAUUGUGUCUCAAGAUUUUUCAAAGCGUAGAGACCCUGCUGUCUUGUUUACUCAAAAAAGUGGAAAAUGAGAUAAAAACUCAACAGUUUUGGCUUUUACAAUUUGAAACUUAGCCCUUAUUCAUUUCGGAAAAAUGAUAUAAGUUCUAGGGUAGAAAGAUGAUAUUAUUAGGUAUUAGAGAACUUUUUGAUCCGUGCGUAAGAAGUACGUGGAUCAUGAAAGUAUUUGGUCUCGGAUUCGAGGAAGAAUAUGCAAGAACAACUCCUGUUUCACGAGCUUUAGAUCAGCAGUUAUGACAAAAGAAGAAGAAAACUGUUUUCUCACAUGCAAUCAUUGAAGAAAAUAGAGUUCGACUUCAACCUAAGCUUGUGGAAAAUACUACUACUAGAUAACAUGCAAUCAAAUAGGAGUAUUUGCAAUCAUUGAAGUUUCCUCACAUUCCAUUAAUUUCCUACCCUUUCAUGGAAGUUCAGAAGCUGAUAGAUUGGAAAACAAUUGUUGUUCAUGACUUGAUAGGGAAAAGUAAUACCACUGAUGGAGACAGAUGUAAUACAUGUAACAGUUGCCAAAACACAUAGAGAUUAUAGCAAAAUCUACCUAGGACAGUUGGACUAGGUUUGUACAAGUUUCCUAUGAUAAUCAAGGGAGGGAAAAACUGUACAAAUCUUGCAUGAAACUUUAGUUUACCGCAAGAACAGUGUUGCAGAAGUUGCACCGGACAUAGCAAAGAUGCUCAGAUUGUUGGACCAAAUCCAUGGUGGCUUUGUCCUCCAAAUUCAGUGAAGAUGAAGAGGAAGAAUGAGAAGACAUAGCUAGUAUCAAGUUUGAUGAAGAGGGCCUCUUUUUUUAAAGAUGAAAGUAGAAUCUAGGGUUUCAGGUCUAGAAUAGCUGGAUAUAUAGGGCUCAAGUAUUACUAUAGCUUUCAAAAAAAUUUACGGUUACUACAUUACUGCUCAUAUUGUACCAACAAUCUCAGAAGCUGACAAAUUUAAUGCAUGGCUGGUGAAUACUCUUCUAAGAGUUUCUACCUCUGUGAUCUACGGGUGAAAAAAAAAAAACCCAAAAACCUGUAAUCUACAAUGGUAAUACGUACGAAAUGAAGACUUUGUUGUAUUAGUUAUUUUCAUCAUACAAGCUAAGUCCAAUUUUGGCGUUUGAAAAGUAUCUAUCUAUCUUUGGAUUAUACGCAAUUAUGCACCCUUCCAAUGACUUUACUUUUUCUAAAGUUUUCAUUUUAAGUGGUAUAGCAAAGCUUUCUCCCUUUUUUUUUUUUUUUUGCUUCUAUAAAUGAUUAAUUUAUAUGUCAAUGAUAUAUCGAUGGAUAAAAGAAAACACUUCUUAUUAUAGCUCAUCAAAUUUUCUUCUUCUAUCAUAAUCUCAUGUCCUGCUAGCAGUUUAAACAUGCAGAGAAAAGUCAUCAUUUGACCAAAAAGGUUCUUUCCUAACUUUGGCAGCAUUUUCCACAAGUUGUCUAACGAGAUUCAAAGAGCACACUAAUUACUCGAAAUUCCAGCAUUAUCAUUUGCGAAAGAGUCGGUACCGACUGGUUCUAACUAAAAUGAUCAAACUUGUAUUGCAUGAUUCCAAAUUUCUACAUGGAAGCGAUGAAGUUGCUGGAUGCACUUUAAUUAAUUUCCAAAGAUUUGGCAAGUCAAGUAUCGUUUUGCAUAAUGUGCUUCUCUACUGUCAGAUAAGUAAGCAAUGAUUGCUCAAAGGGGGUAAAAAAGAUACUAUUAUUUCUAGUGAUAUCUUACCCUUUUUUUGUUACAACAAAAAACUAUGUCUUCAUUCUUCUUGAUGUGAAUGACUCCGACCAUGUUAAAAAAAAAAGGGGAUUGAGUCGCCAGACAAUAUUUUCUUUGGUUUUGGUGCCAAAGGCAAACAAAUACUACGAAAAUUUAUAGUAACAAUUAACGUUAGGUACUUUGUCUUGUAAGAAAACAAUUUAUUGAGUUUGUGCUCAGCUAUAAUAUUGGUUUUCUUAUAUAUCCUCGCUAUUCGUGAUUAAAAUGUACAGGGGUAGGAAACUUUGGCUAUUUCACAUAUUGUACAGAGAUAAACAAUGGUACACUCACUAGUUUUCCAAUUAUGCAAUGUAUACUAGGGUUUUGUACUUCAAAAAUUGUAAAGGAACAAAUACAUACAAAAAAUAAUAAUAAUAAAGGUCCUUUCUUUACGUUAGCAUUGAUCAAGAUAAGGGAUAAUUUCAAAAACCUCCCUUGUGGUGUCUAACAACUUCACUUGGCGCCCUCAAAUUUUAAAAAAUUUCACUUGGUUCUCCUACUUUAAACUUGUUGUAACAUUUGAAAUUCAUUUAAAAAUAUAAUAUCAAAAAACUCAUUUUGGAAGAAAGAGUACAAUUUCAUGCCCAAUUUGCCCUUUUCUUGUGAUUUCUUAACUAUCAUAACGCACCACAUUUAUCUCUCAAUUUUUAUAAAUUGAUUGAUAUAGUAUUCUUUAAUAAAAAUUUAAAAAUUGAUAACAAGAUUAAAAAAAUCUUUAAUAAUUUUUGUAUUAUUGGUUUGAACAAGAAAUUUUAAAUUACUCAAAAUUAUGGAUGAUUUACAAUACUCUUAAAAAUAACUUGCAAUACUUCGCAACUACGAGAAUACCUUUUUGCACACCAGCUUAAAAAAAUACAAAUAAGUAUAUAUAUAAUUUUUAGCAUAUUAUAUCAUUUUAUUUUUCAAGCCAUCUAUUUUGAAAAAAAUUAGAAAAUUCAAAAACAUGUAAAUGAUUUAUAAAACUUCUUAAAUUAACUCAAAACACUUUACCAUAAAGAAAAUACUAUCUUUGUAACCUGCAAAAAUUUCAAGUAAGCUUUUCAAAUAUUAACUCUUGGUAUUUAAAAAAAAAAUACACUAUAUUUUGUCCAAUCAAAAUAAACCUUCAUAGCUUUGUUUUUAUUUUUCAUUUGUUUAUUAAUAUACUCACUAUUUUGAUAAUAAAAAAGUAAGACAAUAAAAGGGCAAAUUGGAAAUGAGAUUAUAUCUACCCUCUCAAAAUGAAAUUUUUAAAAUGGGUAGUAAAUAAUAAAAAAAAAAGUUUAAAAUAAGGGAGACAAAUGAGAUUUUUCAAAAUUUGAGGGUGCCAAGUUAAAACUAUUAGAAACCUCAGCGGAGAUUUCUGAAAUUACUACUUAAGAUAAAAACAUUUUAUGUUAUAGCCUUUUUUUGUUUCCAAGAAAACGAACUGUUAUCUCACAUAUGGGCAAGACUUAAUUUUGUCAGCAAUGGAGCGUGUCGUUUGGCAAAUAGUCAAGGUUCUCGAAUGCUACUAGUUCCAAGGUUUUCGAAUAAAUUAAGGAGCCAGUUUUAAGACAUUCAGCAAUAAAAAGAAAUGAAAAAAUGAAGUGCCAUAACUCAAAUUGAUCCAGUCUGCACUCUGCAGUUUGCAGUCUGAUGUUAUACAUGAGAAGACAACACCUAGAAUUCGUAAUAAUUGGUCAGGCACAUCUCUAAAUUCGUCUAAGCAUCCCGGCCUGCAGGUUCAAACAUCUCUUUCCAAUUAGCCAUCGCAUAUCUUCUGAUCUGAUACAGAGAGUACUUUUAAGCAUGUAAUUUUGCAACUUUUCCUGUUUUCCAUAGAUUUGAGUAAACAUCAAAACCGAACCCAAAUGAUACGACCGUGGAUGAGUUCAUUCCUAAUCAAUUGCCUGAUAAGAAAAGAUUAAUAUUAAUACAGCCACCUGAAAACUACAUUCUGCCCUACAUUUGCAUGCAUGCCUUCAUCGAUCCCUUAAUAGAAUUUAUCUAUAUGUAUAUAUAUAUAUAUAGAUGUUAUAUGAAUUGAAAAGCAACUAACUGGGUAGAUGCCUUGACAACAUACAAAUCUGGAAGGUACAGAUAUCUUCAGAAUGUUGAUGAACGCAAAAGCAAAAGUAUACAGCAACAAAGAAUCAAAGCUUGAAGCUUCCUGUCAUCUACUGCUUACACUACACUUAGAAAUUUACGGGUGGGAUGUAAAAGAAAGAAAACUGAAAAAGACAAGAACCUGAAAUCACAUGUCACAGUCACAGACUGAAAUUUAAGGAGGGGAGAAAGCCAGUAAGGUAGGGUUUGUUUUCUGUCUUUAGCUGAUGAUGGGACUAUUCCUCUAGAUUGCUAAACAUGGAAACUAGCUAUUUUUGCUUUUGAUUUCCACAACUUUCUUUGCUGGUAUAAACGGCUUUCCCUAGGUUCUUUUCUUCUUCUUCUUCUUUUUUUUAGACCAGUCAUUAGUUUGUUACUUGUUAAUUUUCACCUUCCAAAUAUUAGCAUUUUACAAUUGAGUUUUUAUAUUUAUUGGAGGGUGGCUAGCUAGGUGAAGGUCGAUAUAUUCAUAGCCAUGGCCACGAGAUUCCCAUUUUGUACCUCGAAGUUUGCUAUACCAACAAGCAAUAAACCGCGUACACAUUCACAGGCGAGAAGUGACUUUGAUUAUAUACGGAUUUGGACAUAAUCAUUUGAUCUAAGCUAUCCCCUCUUUCAUAUCCAUAUGUAGAAACUUUGAUUGGACGCGUCUCCCCUGCCCCCAUCUCUCAGAUACUUUGAAGUUGUGUAGAUGCAACGUCUGGUAAUGAAUUGAUUGUUGAGCGUUUCAUUUGUUCCUUUCUUCCUAUCGCAUUCGUACGUGGUUCUAAUAUAUCCAUAAACUAGUUAUUCACACGUGCAUUUGCACGGGUACCUUUUUAUAAUCUCGAAUUUUUAUUUUUUUUGAACGAAAAUUGCUAUAAAAGGACUAAAAAUGCUAUUUUAUAAAAUUUAACAUGCUAAUUAUAAGACAAACAUUGAAAUUAAAUAGACUAAAAAUAAUGAAUUUAUAACAACUUAAUAAUUAGAUUUUUCUUUCUUGCUAUUAGGUUUCGGGGUCAAAACUUAUGUCUCACAGUUAUGGGGAUAUUUUUAAAAAAAACUUAAUAAUUAGUAUCAAUUGAAUCUUAUCCCGUAAUAUAGUUGUGUUUAUUCUACUUAAUGCUGGCAAGACAAUUCGUGAGCAAAGAAGAUAUGUUGGGAAAUAAGUGUAACUAAAUAUUUUAUUCUUUCACUACUAAAAUGAACUUUAGAAAGCAAACUAAUAGAUGAUGAGCUGAUUAUUUUCUCAAAUUAUUAAAAACUAAUAAAAGACAAAGAAUUUCAAAUAACUUUUACAACCUUGCAUUUACAUGAUACUACUUUGGCUUAAAUCAAAUUUGAAUGGAAAGAGCAUAAAGAUUAAUAGAAAAUUUUAGGAAAGAAUAACUAUUUAUACAAUUUAAAUGGAUUUGGUAUAUAUAUGAAUCUUUGAAGGUGAAGGUCAUUCUUUUUCCAAAUCUUAGUAAUAGCACUAGAUAAUCAAACCAAUAAUAGGAAUAGAGAAUGUGAUCGAAAAUUAUUAGAAAAGGAAAGGCAUGAGUUGAUUGACAAAAAAAAGUACAAUUAAUACAAAUUUAUAUAAGGUAGGUCCUGUAUAGAUUUGUUAAAAUUAACUAUAAAUAAAAAACCAUAAAAAGGGCUGUAAAUUGUUACAAAAAAAAGAACAAAAUUUAAAAAAAUACAAAAUUUCUUACAAUAUAAAUUUGCCACAUGGCGAGAAGAUAGAUCGUCUAUUAAGUAGAAGAUUAGAAUAGCCAAUUAAGUGAUCUACCAAAAUCGGAAUUGAUCAUCGUUUUAUAUUGUGUGUGUGUGUGUGUGAUGUUAUGCCUUAUUUGAAUUGCUAUUUUUCUACAAAAAUAUUUUUAGAUUUUUUAGAAAUAUUCUCUCAACUUAAUUCUGAACAACUUUUUCAACUCAAGUAUAUUCAAGAAAAUAAUACACUGUUAUUUUUCUAUAAAAAUUUCACAAAAAUCUCCAAUAUACGAUCCAAUACGGGCUCUUUAGUUGCAGUGUGUUUAAUCUAUUGUUGUAGCGGGAGGUAACAAUUGAAAAUAGAAAUCAAAUGAAAGCUCGAUGUUGUUUGCUUGAUAUGGUUAACAAAGAAUGAAUGAUUUGCGAAGUUGUGUGUAAAAUUAUCCGGGCUAGUUCUUUGAACAAAACAAUGAAAAGAGGAAUUAGUCUAGUGUAACUAGGGAUGGCAACGGGGCGGGGGACCCCUCCCCCAAUCCCCCGCCCCGCUACCUACAAACUCCCCCCGGUCCUCGCCCCAUCCCCCGUCUCCCGCCCCGUCCAGCUUCCCCCGCAGGUGUCCUUGCGGGGCUAAUAAAAAAUUAUUAUAUAAUUUUAUUAUGGUUAAAUUUUAGCAAAUAAUCAAGUACUAAAAUAUCAACACAUCAUCAAAUUAUUAUUCAUUGUAAUUUUACAAUUGAAACUUAUAAAAACAAUCAAACAAAAAUUAUUUGAAUACAAUCCAACAUGAUGAAAUAAAUAUAACUAAAGUAGUCAAAUUUGCACUUUUGGUACAAAUACAAUCACUAAUUCAUUAUUGUGCUUGAGUUUUUUUUAAGAAAAAAAAUGUUAUUGUAUUAAGUGUAAUUAGGGAUUUAGUAUAAAUGUAUUAGUAAAUUUAGUAUAACCAAUUAAUAAUUUGUAUUAGUACACAUAUAUAAUUAAUAAUAUCAAUUAUAUUAUAUAUACUAAUAGACAUCAUAUAAUACAUAUAACUAAUAAUAUCAUUAUCAUAAGUUUGUAACCAAUUAAAUUAUAUAUUAUAUAUAUAAUUAUAUACCUAUAUAUAUUUUAUAUAUUUAAUUUUUUAAAGCCGGUGGCCCCGCCCCAUUAGCCCCCGCGGUCACCCGCUCCCAUUGCUAUCCCUAAGUGUAACACCUAAAAUUGGAAUAUGAUGGAAUAUCCAACAGCUUAUUUCCUUUGUUUAUGAACGUCAAGAAGUAUAUAGAGGCGCAUGCUUUAAAAUAUAAGUGCUUGCUUAUUCACGAAAAAACAGAAUAGAUAAUCUUCUAGUAGCUUUUCAUACAACAAAGGGCAAAAGCCAGGCUUUAAGAGAUCUUUAAUGGUACAUUCGUUUCAAAGGAAUUAAAAACUAAUGACAUUCAGCUUGAAUUAUCAGGAUUUUCCAAUUGAACUUGUUAAAGUUCCUUAUGUACUGGCUAUAACGUCCACUUUUCUUAUUAUCUCACACUUAAUAAAUCAGGAUGCCAUUAAAAAAGAUUUAAAAGAGAAAGUCAGGAUCCCAUUAACAAAUUUUACAGAAGGGUCCCUUUUAAAAAAAAUUUUGAACAAAAAAAAUAAAUUUAUAUUAAAUAAAAUAAAUAUUGAGACUCCCAUCACCAAGUCGUUGUAGUAUAGUGGUGAGUAUCCCCGCCUGUCACGCGGGAGACCCGGGUUCGAUCCCCGGCAACGGCGUUUUCUCUCUUUCGUUAGUUUUAUUUUUAUAACAUCUUUUUCCUAUUUGUUUUUUUUGAAUCGGACCCACUAAAAUUCCCGUCCGUGCAUAUUUAUAUCUCGUGAAUUUUCGUUCCCGCCAUCUUCAUUUUCAGCUGCGUCUCUUCCCCCGGUCUCCCACCCUUCCUCUUUCUAUCUCUCACAGUACACACACUGAGUACAGUGAAGUAGAAGUAGAAUAGAAUAGACGACGAUCAAUUACGCCGUCAACAAUGUCGGAAGCCGGAGAGGAGAAAUCGGACGGUCUGGAGAUCAUAUCAAUCGGCAAGCUUUAUAGUGGUUCUUGGGAAAAGAAAUACUGGAGCUGCUCUAGGGUUCGAUAUUCCAUUUUUUACUAUUGUAUAUUUCCGCUCGACGUUUUUCAGUUUGAUAUUAUGCUCAGCUGGUUUUCUGCGUGUUGCGAUAUGCUUGAUCUAUAGUUAGAAUUAAUGUGAAUUUUCUUUUUUGGUUGUUAAUUUUGAAAAUUGAUGAUAUAGAUUGGUCGAAAGUGGAUGACUUUGCAUAAUUACGGUAUAAUUGAAGUAAUUAGCAACUCCAUUUGUUUGUUUUGACUAUUUGUUUGUUUAGUUUUCAUGUAAUGUAAUGGAAUUAUGUGAGGCGAAAAUAUAUAUUUUAUUUUUCUUUUCUUUCCUUUUAUUCAACAUAAGAACAGAUUAUGCAAAGGAUACAUUUGUCAUUCGAGCCUGGGUUAACUAUCAGAAUACUACAAUUUAGUCAAGUUAGGGCUUUUCAGUAUGAGAAUUAUGGUGAUGAAAUCGGAAAAAUAUACCGUUUUAGAGAACGGACACAUGUAAUGGAAGCGAUGUAGAAAAGAAGCUAAGAGUUCAGAAAGUUCAGGUUACAAUUGUGCAUUUCAUAUAGUCACCACGCAUGUUUAAUUAAGUAUUAUGAAAGAUAAUUGGAUGGUCUUGUUGAACCUGGGAUUUUCGCGUCUUGUUUUCUUGCAUUUUUUUGGUCAGGAGAUGUGUUUGGCUGCUAUUUGUGUUUAUCAAAGGUUUGACCUACUUAUAAAGUAGGAACUUUUUCGGAUUAAUUUUGGAUGAUUCACAUGAAUGUUAUUUGUCAAACUUUUUUAUAAGGAUAAAAGGAGAUGAAUACAGCUAAAACCAAAAUGUAUUAUCAGUGAAGAGCAGAACUUCUCAUAAACCACACCUGCAUACUAAAAAUUGCUGAGUGUAGAAUAUAGGGAAUAGAAAAGAGAAGGGGAGCAAGUCGGAUUUACUAGUGAUGAGUAGGUUCAUAUGAACGCUGUAAGAUAUGAACAAUGAAACAAUUGUACGAAGGAAUACAAAAAUGGAUGGGAAAGAUUAACCUGCUAAAAGUAUACUUCAGCUUGGGAAGCACCACAAUCGGCAUAACUUGUCUUUCUUUACAGGGUAAAGAUCGUUAUCCUUAUCCAGUUGGAUUUAAAGCUGUUCGGACACAAAAUGGGAUCAAAUACAGGAUGGAAAUUUGUGAAGGUGUCAAAGGGCCGCUAUUUAAGGUGUGUUGAUUUGCUAAACACUGCUGAUCUAAGGCUACAUUUCCCAGUCCAUUCUGUAAAAGUUAUUGUCAUAACUACAAUGGAACCACCCUUUGUUUGCAGAUUGGUUCUACUGAUGGACUGUCAUGCUCUGGUCAAACUCCAGAUAUUGCAUGGGAGAGUUUUCAGAAAAAAAGAAGCUCUCGUGUAAAGUUUUUGCAUGGGAAGAGAUUCUCAUGCAAGAUUGAUGGCAUGGAGGUGCUGUGUUUUUGUCUAUCUUGUCCUAUUUUUGCAUUUACAUUGCUUCACAUGUACAAUGUAGCAUGUUGUUGGAAUUAAUCCUGUUGCAGUCUUGAGUAUUAUGAGCUUUUUAGUAUCUCUUACACUUCCUGCAGAGUAUUGUAGUAGUAGUACUUUACCAAGAUCUAAGCUCAUUCCUGAUUUGGUGCCAUUUUUCCCUGUAUAAUUGGCAGUUUUUUGGGUUCAAGAAUGCAUCCGUCCAAAGGUUACUGAGGGAAUUAAUGGCAAAUGCUGGAGGCAUUGUAGAACAAAAUUUGCUUCCAUCUGAAUUUUGCUCUGAGGCUUCUGAGACAAGAAUUCCAAUUCAGCUAACUCAUUUCAGUUUGGAUCAUGAUAUGCUAUUGGGAAAACCACAGGUCACGGGGAAGAGAAGCAGGAAAGAGAAAAUGAUCAAAGCUACAUCGCAGGGUGUGACAGAUCUUAAAAGAGUUCGACCUCAAAAUGGGGAACAUGAUGUUGUUGCUUCAAGUAAUGGGCUGACGGGUCAAGAGGAUUGUAGUGACAGGCUUCACUUGAUAAUUCCUACUUUGAAAGAACAUCAUCUGAGCAAGAGUGCAAGAGAUUUCCAGAGAUCAACAAACUUGGACCCCGUGAUUGAGGAAGAACUUGUAGCUUCAGUACAAGAUCAUCGACUGUUGAAUUCUUUUGAUUUAUCUGAUGAUCUGAAAGUUGAUGGUCACAUUCCACUUGAACAAAGCAAGCCUAUUAGCUCUGGAAUUUCUACAACCAUUGGAGAAGAGGGCAACUUGCCUGAAGACAAAGAACGUGUAAGCAGAUUCAGCUUAUGUUACUAAAGGCCAUCUUCAUGCAAUUGAAGUUUUGCUUGCACCAUGGUCUUGAAGUUGUUGGUUUUUAUUCACUUCAUGUGGCUUUUGUACCUGUUAGAUUAAAAACAUCAUUAAAAUACGAAUCAUUUCAAGUUUUGCUAUUCCAUAACUUUUUGUGAACUCAGAUGUCCUGGAAUUGGUUUGUCAGUCAGCUUACCUGGUGUUAUACUUACAAUGUCCCAGCUUGACAGAUCAAAAGUUUCAGCUGGACUCCAGUUUAAUUGCUCCAUAGGAGAAGAUGAAGAAAGGGAGAGAAUAUGUCCUAAAACAAUCCAUGAUGCUGAACUUUGUGUGCCUAAUACUUUAGAUCACCCGCCAGGUACCAUUAACUAAUUAUCCAUUGUUACUAACAAGAAUUUGAUUGCUGAGACAUCAUUCAAUAUCUGCCACUUAUUUGUGGAUGGUUAUGGUUGUUUCCUCAGAUGAUUUGUCUAAUUCUUUUGCCCAUCAAGUUAAAAAAGAAGUACCGACAAAAUAUUCCCCCAAGUUGGACAAUGCACUUGCCACUGACAAGGCCAUUCUUGAGGAUUUAGCAACAGAGUCUGAGUCACUUCGAGAAGAUGAGAUUAGCACAUCUAACUCAAAUGCCAGUUCCGGGAAAGGUGAUUUAGAUUCAGUUGGUCAGGAUAUUGCCAAAUCAAUGAUGACAGUCCUGCUUCCUCGAGCCCUUCCUCUGCUCAACACAUUUUCAAGAAAGAAAAAGAAGAAUCUUAAGCCUUCAGAAAUGUCUGCCAUUGUAACCACGUCUGAAAAUGAAAAGAUUGACAGAAUAGCAAUUCCUGGUAAAGCAUCGAUGUAUAACUCCCUUGAAUGUUACAGUUUAGCUGAUCUAGUGUUGCUAGUUAUGCCUCAGUUGUCCUUGUACCUUUGCUACUCUAUGUAAAGGUGCUGUAACAACAUUUUCUUCUUCUGUGACCCCUUUUUUCUUGUUUUUUCUCUAUGUCAAACUUGCAGUCAGAGAGCUUCCAGAAACUGCAGAAUUGGACCAGAAUAAGGAGGACCAAAUUUCUUCUAGGAAUCUAGAAUAUGAUGGUCGUAUAAAAUCUGUUGUUCCUGAUAGCUUUGAUGACAGUGGAAGUGGAGAUCUUCUGAUAGAUAAUCUGCGCCUUCUUGAGACUGCAGAUAGGAAAACAAGUCCUCACUGCAACAGAGAAAUGGCUUUGAAUCAUGGGAUUGAUAUCUGCAAUGACUCAACAUCUAAAGCUUCCUUAGGAUCCACAUUUCCCAGUAAAAAUGAUGCCUUCACAAGCUUCAGUGAGAAGUCUUUGUGUAUUCAAAAACAGACUAUGAAGGACGACACCAAGACUUGUCCUGAUUAUAGUGAAGGUACUAAUAAAAGAUUGCCUGCAGAGAAUCUCCUUUUUUAUCACUGUUUAUGGUACACUUGUUUCAACAUACACAAGUGAAAUAUGACACUAAUUUAGUGCGUCCAAAGAAAAAUGUUCACGUUCACUAAAGAAAUCAAUAUCACGAGCAAGGCAGCUUGUCCUUAACUGAAACUUCAUUUGAGCUGCUGAAUCAAAAGUGUACCCUAUUUCUUUGUUAAAAUUGGAUGUAAACGAUGCUAGUGGUGUUUAUGAUGUAGAACAAUGUCUGAUUGUAAUAUUGGUCUCCUGCCUAAAAGUUCUUGCAGUUGACACCCAAAGCCCUAAAAAUUUGAUCAUUGGUACUGGAACUAGGGUUGAGAAAGAAGAACCUAGAUCUAUGACUGUUAAAAGGCUUUGUAACUGCUGAUGGAGAACCUUUUACGAUGAAUUAUCGGACAAGAAAUCCUUGUUUCUGACUUCAGAUGAUAUUUUUGUGUUUCAGACAUUCUUGAUUUAACUACGUCAUUUUUAGACCAAGAACUUGCUGAUCUUGAUAUUCCCACAUCGAAUUCGCUGAUCCAGAGGGUGAAUUCUGAUAAUGUGGCACAAAAGCAUGAAGCCAAAGAUUGUUCAAAAAUGAAUAAUAAUGCAACUUCCCUCCUUAAUGCCAAGCUGGAAGAGGUUCUCAAGCUUGUUGGCUGCUAUAUCCACCCCAUGCCAGUUUUAUCUGUGCUAUUGAGAAUGGUAGGGAAGGAAAUCUAUAUAUGUGCACUUUGUGGCUCCCUUGCACAAGAGGACAAGAUUCUCUUUGUCUACAGUACUCCAGUUACUGGAGAAAAGACAGGAUCCCCUUCUUUUGUUGGUCAUGCAUCAGUUAUCUUGGAUGAUGCCUUUGGGAGAAAUGUAAGAUAAACUUUCCUAUAACUCUUUCUUUCUUUUACUGCAGUAGUGCUGGAGUUGCUAGCUGUACAUUAUAGACAUGCUUUCUUUCAGCAGAUUGCUGUGGAUAAUUUUGGUUUGCAUUUCACUCCAGAUGGACAAUCUCUUGUUCUACUGAAUAGCAUAAAAGUGCCCUGCUGCAGGUUUCUACUUUAUUUUUCCUGCAUAUAUACUUACCCAUGGUUAUGAAAUUCUUGUAGUUCUAAAAUGUAGAUUUUGUGCUCUCAGGGAGGGUAACAUUCAUUGUCCUUGCCAGUUAUGUACUUCAGAUUGUUUUGAAAAGAAUGCAGUAAAAAUUGUGCAUAUAAGAGUUGGCUAUGUCUCAGUGAUCAACAAACUUAAAACUGCUCAAACUGUAUGCUGUAUACUAGUUUGUGAGCCUAAUCAUCUUGUUGCUGCUGAAGAGAGUGGGAAGCUCUGCCUUUGGGUCAUGGACUCAACAUGGAGGUAAAUUCUUCGAAAGGGUUACUUUUCCUUUCUUCUUCUUGUCUAUAUGUUCCUUAUUCAUUAAGGCAUCAUGGCUAGUUAAACAUUGAUAUUCUCCUCGAUUGACGUCUUAGUGUAUUAAUGGGCAAAAACAUCUUCCUUAUACUGCCUGGUUAAAAGAUUACUGAUGAAGUGCUGCAUUAUGUGGUUUUAUUCCCUUAUUGGAUUGUCUAUGGAUUAGGAAGAACUGAAUACUGUGUACUAGCAAGUUCAUGGCAUAGUUUGAAUGGUGGCUAAGUGAAUAAAUUGCUUCAACUCCAUAAUAGUUGAACUUCACACAUGAUUAAUUAUUUGGUGAAUGAGAAGUUUCUGGUUAACGAAUAUUAGUAACUGCCAAAAUGUUCCGACAAUCAUGAGUGGUAUUGUAACUUUCUUUGCUACAUUACUUGUUCAGUGGCUCACAUCUUACGGCUGCCAAGGUUUUGUGUUUCUACUCUAAUAUUGUUUGGGAUAAUUGCAUGCUCCAGCAGUGUCUGGAGCAUCACUAAAUCUGGUUCUUUAUUUGCAGUUCACAGUUGGAGGAAUGUCAUUUACCUGUGGCAGAUAACUGGCCGCCUUCUCCUGUUGAACUGAAGAAACUUCCAAAAUCUGCUUCUUUAAUUAUUGGUCAUAACGGAUUUGGCGAGUUUGGCAUAUGGUAUGCUAGCUUUGAUCACAAAUGCAAUCAAGUGUGCUUACUUUUACAUGUUUUUAUAGUAAUCUGUUACCAUGUAUAUUUGUCCUUGGUCUCAAAAAUGACAAGCCAUGCUAAGAGAGUUCUAUGUUGGAUGAACUUCUCAUUCUGUUUCACCAAACAAUUCAUGGAACUGCAAAAACUUUAUCAUCUAGGUUAGUUCUGCUGACCUUUGUGAAGUUUACUGGUUCUAUCUCAAUGUCCCUUUUAUAUUUUGGUUGAUGCAAUAAACAUGGUAAUUAACCAGCUCUACGUUGUCAUUGAUUUAAUUUUACCUAAUGAAUGGUAAAUAAUAUUGCGAAACAAAAUUUUUGGUUCUUGUUUGAUCCAGUUCUGUGUCAUUACUAACUGCGUUCAGAAUAAAGUUGGCUAGGCUGCUGAAUGCUAAAACAAGCCUAAAAGAUAUAGCCACAUUGAUAAGAAUGUUCAUAGUUUCUCCUUAUUGAUACUCUAAUUAGACUUCCACUUUUGCAGGGACAUUAAAAAACAGAUUCUCGUAUCGAAGUUUUCUGGUCCGAGCACUACAAUCUCUAAAUGCAUUCCAAUUAGCUUCUUUCAGUGGCAAAGAAAAGGCAAUGUUCCCCCUUACUACAACCAGGAAGAGCUUAUCAACGAGGUUCUAAAUGCAACAGAAAUGUGGUUCUCUGGAGAAGAUAGCGAACUGGUCCGACCAAUAGAGGCUGAAGAUCUGGCCAUCUGGCUUCUUAUCUCAACUGUGUCAUAUCUUGACUUCCAACCUAGCUAUAAAUCAGGUGAUUGGCAGAUGGACUCAGUUGGAUCUUGGAAGCUUGCUCUCCUGGUUAAAAACACAGUGGUGAUGGGAAGUGCAUUGGAUCUUAGGUACUACCCAAAUUAGAUGAAUACUAUUAGAGAGACAUAUUAUAGUACUAUUCUGUGUUAGUGCUACUUGUUUGUUUUGCAAAUAGUGGAUAAAGGAUUUAAAGUUCCCCAUUUCUUAUGGUGUUGACUUUCCUGUAGGAUCAAAAUACUUGUAGCACAUUACACUGAGUUCCUCGGAUUUUAAAGAAUAUCCAUUCUGGAAUGCCUAAUGAAGGAAUCAAUUUCAGAGUCAAUAUAUGCCUCAUGCCAACCUUUUUCUGGUAUUUCGUGGAAACAGCAAUUUAAUAGUCAACUUCUUGACCUAAAGUUCACACGUUUCCUUAAUUAUUACAGCCUUGCAAUUUGAUCAAAGACUGCAAUGGUUUAUUUGAUGAAGCCAUGAAAGUGUUUUUAAGUUGGAUUAUGUUCAGGAUAGUAUAGUCAUUUUCCUAGUUUGGGCUCCACUAUUUGACCAGCCAAAGGGCAAGCAAACUUACUGAGGGUGAAAGGUACAAGAUAGUGUCCGUAAUAAGCAGCUCUGCAGAGUUGACGUUUGAACUUUCUAAAGUGCAACAUGCAAACCAUAAGCUUGAUUCGUGCCGUCAUACUAGUAAUGAUGCAUCCAUGUGAGCUCCAGGAUAUAUGAACUUGGACUUCUAAUCCUUCUUCUGAUCCACAUUGUGCUUUAUUUUUUGAGCAGUUCAUAUUUUGUUUGCUUUUGCUUUAGAGGUUAAAUAACAGAAGUCCUUCCUGCAGGGGUGUUGCAGCUGGUGCAUCACUUGGUCAUGGAAUUAUUGGUAGAUCUGAUGGGCUAGUUUACAUGUGGGAACUUUCUACAGGAAUUAAAGUUGGUAAUCUACAUCAGUUCAAAGGUAAUCUCACAUUGUGAGUAACAAAUAUUUCUCAAAAUUGGCAGACUUUUUGUCUAAUGCCUGCCAUCUUUUCUUGCUAUCCGUUUCAACUCGUGUUUUUAUGUGUUUGUUUGACAAAGAACUUUGCUAAUUCUUCAUUUAGGUUACUAUUCCUAGUUUGAUUAUGCACUAAAUGUUCUAAAUUCUUCAUUUAGGUAGCGGAGUGUCAUGUAUAGCAACUGAUAUGUCAAAACCUGGAGCUUUGGCUGUUGCAAGCGAUGGAGGUGAAUUGCUAAUAUAUGCGUACCUGUGAAGGGCUUCUGCCGAUUGGCGCAUGCUGCUGUAAAAUGAAGAGCCAGUCAUUAACCUUUCCUGCUCCAGAUUUAAUCUUUAUCAUCUUAGAAACAAAAUCAAUCAGAAAUUAUGAUGUCUGAAGCCUGAACUCAGUCUAGAAGUAUACAUGAAAUAAGUGUAGCAAAUUUGGAAGUUCAGACUUUUUCUUCUUAUCCUCCAAUGUCCCGCCAUGUUUCCCAUUGAUGAUUUGCUCUCUCUUUUGUUCUUGUUUCUUGUUAUAAUACGAACAGGUUAUUCAUAGAGUCACGAUGAAGGUAAGUCAGACCCGGUGGUAGCUUUUUCACGGAAAAAGACCAGAUCGUAUGAUUUAUGAUCUAGCAAUAAAAUCUGGUGGCAUUUACCAACUGUUUACGGAAAGGUGAGUCAAGCAGACUUAAAAAGCACCUUGUCGAUGUUUAUAGUCCACUGUAACAAAUUAAUAAUAUAGAAAAGAAGCGCCAGGUUUGACACAUUUGGAAUUUUUUAAUUUGGAAGAGCAAAUUAGAUCAAAUGUUUUCAUUAGCGAAAGAAUGAACAUGAUCGAAGAAGCCGUUAUAAAUGUCACUUCAAAUAUGCAAAUCGUUUUCCUAAUCAACCGAAUUCACUGCAGCCUCGACUGACGAUUCAUUCUAUGGAAAGAAAACAAAGGCCGGUUGGUUAACGUGAUAAAUAACCUCUGAAACCUUAAUUUGAAUAUUACUGCUAAUAUAAAUAAUAAGGUUACAUAAUGAAUUACGGAAAGAAAGCGAGGGCAAUAAAUAAAGUAUACCAUUCCGCAAUGUUGAAUACAAUCUCAACGAAAUUGAAACUCCAAACUAUCAAAGGAGGGAAAGGAACUAAAUGGGGGCCAACUCAUCGUUAAAAGUCAACUAAAAGAGAGAAGGCCACAAAAAUAUUAAAGUAACUAGGUCGGCUAAAUGGAAAUUAUUUAGCUUUGACAUUGGAUGUCUUGGCUGGAGCUUCGCCUGAAGGGUUGAGCUCAUCCCAGGCUUCAAUCCAUGUCACCAUGGCAUCUGCUAACUUGGUGAAGUAGGGGUCGACAUUGGCAAGCUUAGCCUUGACCUGCUUGGCAAGUUCAGUGUAGCACUGCUGGACAGUUGUGCAUUCCUUGGGCAGGGAGACAGCCUGGAAAAAGGGGAUUAUCUCUUCCUGCCAGUAGAUACCCUUGUACUCUUUCUUCAGAUUAACAAAAGGAUUGCUUGCCUUGCUGUGCCAUAUGUAGGGCAGACCAGUCUUGAUCCCCAGACCCAGAUGGUCACAUAUAACCUGCAAUUUGACAAUGCAUUAUUACGGUCAUGCUUUUAUUAAGAAUGUCAAAGAUAAUUUCACUAGCAAUCACAAGGCAAUUACAUUUUUUUUUAAAAAAAAAAAAAUUUGUCCAAAUAUUAUGACUUUGAGGGUGCUGAUUUAUUGAAGUUACUGUGUUCAAGCAAAAGCAAAAACUAGGAUCACGAGAGAUAUCUAUCAGAAUACAGUUCAUUCUAUUCUCCCCGCUUAAUAUUGUAGUGCACAUUAAGUUUCGUGGUGGUUUAAGAUGUCCAAAAGGAAACAACAUAGUUAAAAUGUGCCCAGGAAGCAUAUACCCACAGAUGCAUGCCAGUCCAAGCUAUAGGACUCAGAAAGCAAGUGGUUAAACAAAGAAGAUGAUGCUUCCUCUGAGCAUUAAAGGUGUCAUUGGAUAAUAAUUUAGUUCUAAUCCCUAAAUGUACCAACAGGAUGUGCGACAUCUGAUCAAAACUGAACGAAACAUCUCCUGACCAGCUUUCCAAAAUUAUAUAGGCUCUUGACAUCAAAAUGUCAACUCGGAUGGCGUGUUAUAAUAGAAGAAAGGAAAAAAAAAAUGAUCCUCAAAAUAAAUUAAGGUACAGGGCUCCUUUGUACCUUAGUACACCAGCCAGCCCACAUAUCAUCGUAGCGACCAAUGGGUUGGCCAUCACCCAUGAGCCCAAAGUACAUUGCAGGUCCAAUCAGCUCACGAUUGAAUGCCAAAUUCAUACCACACAUGGGGAAUAAAGUACCCUUCGGAAUUGUCAUGACUGCAUCCACAUAUCUGCAAAGGUGAACGCGCAUUAGGCGUGAAACAAGAAGCUUGGAUGCAACCUUUUCAUGAGCCACAUAAAUGAUUCACAUACCUGGUAUUCCUCUCACGUGGCUUAACAAGCUGUGUGGGUGCAUCAUAAUCAGGAAUAUUAAGCCAAAGGCCAUGAGAAACAGCUGUUGGAACACCCUCACGAAGACUGAAAGGGUAGCCACGCACAAAGUCUGUGCCAUCUCUGUAUGGAUCAUAAAGAGUAUUGAAAAAAUAUGGAGUAGCAGGACUCAAAAUAUUUUUUAUGUGCUGCUCAAGGGCAUUGAUAUCCUUGCCAGAUGGGUCUUUAGCAACCUGUUCAUUGUGAUGGAAGAAGGUUUUAGAAAAUUACAAUGAUGGGCAUGCUUCAACAACUGUAAAUGCUGAAAAGGUAAAUGAUCGGCCAACACAACUUGAAACUAUGCAUUUCACUUUCAAGAUAUGAUAUCCGAAACAAUGAUGACAUUGUGUAACAUUCUCCAUUCAAAAAACAGGAAAACAACAGCAAAAAGCAAAACUCGAAUUAAUAGAUGCAACUGACAAGAACUUCAAAAAUUAAACAUGGUAGGAAGGAAAACUGACAAACUGCUAUUCUCAUAAUAUGACAUUUUGCAUUCCAACUUGAAAGGAGCCUUUUUAAAGCGACUAUGACAAGGCCAUUGAAAAGGAGUUUCAUCAUUGCAUAAUGGGACCAUAUGAUAGCAAAUCACAGAUUAGAUCUCUGGGCCUUUGUUAUUCGCUCACCCAACCGUCAAAAGCUGCUCAAAAUAAUUAUCUGGUGGUUAUACUCUUCUUUAGGAAUCUAAGUAGCAAAAUUACAAUUAGAAAAUAUCCAAGUCCUUUAUUAGAUCUGGCGGACAAAAUAUCCAUAUAGUAGAUCCAUAAAAAACUGUUCCCUUUUUAGCAAUAAAUAUCGGCAAAAACCAUUCUCCCGCAGGAAGAUAGCAUCAAGCAGAUCGAUCGUAAAUUUAUAUUUGUAAUCAGGAAACAACAGAAUCUCUGAACUUCUUUCUAACUUGCAGGGAGAAGCAACAUUUUCAAUUGCAGGAUCCUUUCGUACACAAGUCACGCGGAUCAGCGAAGAUGACAGAAAAUAAAACACCACGGACACACACAGAAACUUACAUUUUAAUUUGCCUAAAAAUUGACUUGCAAGCACGGAAAAUUCAAAUUUGCAACAAAAACAACACGAAAACCUAUCAAUGAGCAAGAUCAUAGCAAAUUUGUCAUAAAAAUUCAAACUUGAAUUUUGUUGACAAACCAAACUGAAUAUACAGCAUACAAAAUCUCAAUUGUCCACGAUCCAAAAACAGAAAAUUAAAUUAAAAAAAAGUAUAGAAAAAGGCUAUUCCACCCAUCUAAAUCCUGAAAAUUCAGCGGGAUUUUAAAUCAAUAAAGAAAAAAAAUUGACGCCUCAAAACAAAUCAAGCUCCGAUCUUUACACCGCAACAACAAAAGGGCACUUGUAAAAAUCAUCAAAAAUACAGAAAAAAGGUACAAAAAGAAAAUUGACUUACGAAGCAAUCAUCAUCAAUUGUAUAGAUGUACUUCUUCUUAGACACCAUGUACCCAAAGCACCUACAAGCAGAGUCCUUAAAGGAGAUGCAAGAGGCCUUAGGACCCAGAAUUCUGUUGAUAUCAUUCCUAUUAUAGAGCUCAUAAUCAAAGCCUUCUGGGACCUUGAUGGUUUUUGAAGGGUCUCCAUCUUGAACGAUGAUAAGAUGGUAUGGCUGAAAAAAUGGCCUCCACAUCUCCAAGAAAUCCAAAUUCCGGAUUGUUGGGAUGACUAUAUCAAGCUCAUCUUUCAGCAAUGGAGUUGGGCUGACUCCUGCCAUUGUUGGUAGCUCUAAACUCUAUCGACGCUGGGGGAAAGAAUAGAAUUAGAACUUCGACCUUGAAGGCAGGGAUUUUGGAGCGUUUCAGGUCUAGGUGAGAAAAAUAAGGGUCUUGGUCUCUUUUAUAGACUGUUAAUAAAACGUUAGGGAAAAAAUUGAUUGAUUUAUGACGAGAAUGGGAAUAGGAAUAGUAGUGGUCAUUGGUCAGAAUUAGAUUGUGUCGCGUCUUGAUUGGGUGUUUCAAGGAGGGUUGGGCAGAAACGGUCAGUACUAGUUCUUUUAUUUUCAUUUUUUAUUUUUAAAAGCUGAAUAGAGAAAUUAUUUGUUGAAAAAUAGUUUUGUCAAAAAACAUUAAUGAUGUGUUUGGAUUGCAAAAAAAAAUUCCUACGUUUUCCGUAGAUAUAUCAUCCAAUCACAUUUUUAUCUUAAAUAUAUCAAAUUAUUAUAAUAAUUUUUCUACAAAAAAAUCCAAACAAAAUCUAAGGUUGUCUUGUAUCAUUUUCUUUUUCGAAUAGAAAUUCAGAAAAAUUUAUUUUUAUUUUUGGUGUCUAUUUUUCUUUAUUGGCAAAUAAUUACAGCGUAAAAAGCGAAGUCCAAAGCGCCAUUGGUUGUAGGGUCAGGUAUUACUAUAUAAUUGUUUUAGAUAGCUUAUUUAGUUUUCCUUAGCAAAUUACUACUGUUAUUAGUCAUUUUCUGGUCAGGGUUAUAUCCGCUGAUUUCGGCGCAUCUCUAAGUACGUGCAAGUUUCAGUCGGUGGUAUACAAUAAUAAAUACUAUUAGCCUUGUUUGGACAGCCUUUUUUCGCUGAAAAAUUGCUUCGUUUUUCGUGAUCAUAUUUCUCUAUUACAUUUUUUUUCUUAUAUACAUCAAAUCGCUACAGUAAUUUUUUUACAAAAAAAUUCUAGAAAAUGCAAUCCAAACACAACCUUAUAAGUUAAGGUACCAUCUGUUUUGACAAAGCAUUCUACUAUUAAUCCAAACAUUAUAUGCUUCUAGAAUUCUUUUGUGAUGCAUGUUAUUUCCUGUAUCCGUGUCCACUGUAAAUUUGUUUGGGGGUCCAAUUGUUAACAGCUUAGUCAUUUAUAGACAAUUUAAUUUGUUAUGACAUCUAGGAAUUAAUUAGUAAUUAAGUUGAACAUUUUUCCGGGCUUAAUUUCUCAAAAUUCAAUUGUAGGCAGGUAUUAGUUCUGGCCAGACUAGCUAACAUGGAGCAAAUAACAUAUGGUAAAACAAAAGUGUACAACCAAAAAAAUAAAUAAAGAGUACAGCCUACACUUUAAGUGCUUUAUAAAUGCUUAGCACCCGUUAACUCUAAUCUUUUGAAAAUCAUAUCAUAUGUAUCACACAACAGCCCAAGUGGGGUGGGCGUGAACUUAGUAGCCGGCAAAGGACAAUUAGAAGAAGUCUACGUUAGCUGUAAUUCCACCUGCUGUUCAUUGCCCAACACAACAAUGAUGAUGUACAGUACAGCUUUGGCAGAUAAAAAAGAACUUAAAACUGGCUAGUGCUGAUGUAUUCAAAAGUUGAUUGACCAAGUAUAUAAACUUUUGGUCAUGGGCUGAUUAUAUAAUGGAGAAAGGUGAUUUUUUUCUUUAUUUGUUAGGCAAAGAGUUGAACUAAAAUACAAAUACUUGGGUCUUCUUGCAAUUGCAUAUUUCAACACUAGAAUGAAUGGACUAACAACAACGCGGUUUGACAGCAAAUUUCCGUUCCACGAAUAAUAGACUGAAUGGCAGUGACUAAAAUGAGGCUUGCACGAAGGCUUUCCAAACUUGUAUGUUCAUUGCUUCGCAGCUAAUCUACACGUACGUAUGACCCUUAAUCUUUACAAUAAACCCUUCAACUAUUAUUCCCAUGCAAUCACAUCACAUGCAAUAAUGUGCACCGACAGGCUUUACCCUAUUGCUUCUAAUCCUGCAAUGGAAAAAUAAACUAGAAAGGACAGAUUCUAAGUCACUAGAAAUUAUUGUAUAUUACUUCUGCGCCUGAACCAAUGGUUAGAUCCGAAUUAAGUUGCAUGCACUCCAAACGAGUAUAUAUAUAUGUGGUGCAUCCCUUCGUAAACUUCGAAAUUUUAAACACUUCAUAUGCAAGACAUUAAAGACCAUAUGUGGAAGGAAGGUCUAAAGGAACUAUUUGAUAGAUCAAGUUCUCUCGAUCUAUUCUUUUCUAGAAUGUUAAAACUUGUAUUUAUUUACUGCAAGAUUUUUGUACCUUGAGAUAAUAUACUUUUCAUUAAAAGUUCACGUUUUAUGGCAAUGCUUAGGUACUCUUCAUGUUUAUUUUUUUUUCCACUAUUCUUGUUUGCUUUGGAGAAGAUCUAUUCCCAAUUAAGUCGCACAAAGGAUAUGAAGAUUGAAGUCUAAGUUAAAAUAUACGUAAUGUAAAAUGAAAAUUUUGGAACUAACACCAGAUUGAAUAUUUUCUCACUCUUUUUACAACAUUAUGCAAAAGACUAGAUACUUUACAUUGAUUUGGGUUUUGCCUCACUAUCUAUUCUACCUAUAAAGUAUUUUUCUCAAAAAAAAAAAAAAGCUUGAACCAAUGUGAAUUCUCAUAGAUUUAAUAAUUUCAGAGAAAUUAGCUGAAGGCAAACUGCGAAACAAAUGUCCCCAGUAACUAUAAAUGGUGAGGCAAAUUUGUGUCACUGCUCUUAAAACGUUUACAUGCACGACUGUCUCACGGUAUAUCUGUGUUGUAUAAAUUAAAGAGUUGAAUAAAAGAGCAAUGUAUUGGAAGGAAAUGGCGUGGUCAACUCCUUGCUGCGUCUUGAUCUUGGAGAUUAGUUUUUUUUUUUACGACAUGGGGUAUCUGGGACGAAUCCGCUGCGGCCCGGGAAAGGACGCCUCAAUCCACUCCGAGCACGGUAAUCAUGAGACUCGAACACUGAUCAAUGUCUUAAAAAAGGACUACACGUCUUGAUCUUGGAGAUUAGCUUCUUUUUUUUUUUUUUUACAACAUGGGGGUAUCUGGAACGAAUCUGCUGCGGCCCGAGAGAGGACGCCUCAAUCCACUUCGAGCAUGGUAAUCAUGGAACUCGAACACUGAUCAAUGUCUUAAAAAAGGACUACACGACCGGCCGAGCUAUCCCGCGGGGCUCUUAGAGAUUAGAUGCUUACUGAAUUUUGAAAUGAUUUCCUAGCUUACCGAGUGGGGAAUUUUGAAUUUUUUGAGUAGCUCUCGAUCCAGUUAGUUGUGUUGAUAAUUUGAGUUCCCACCAAUUAUGAUGAAAAAAUUGGCGGCUCUAGGAAUGUAAUUCAAUUGCAUUGCCAUCUUGGGACACUCGGCUGCAGAGAUGAAUGUUUUAUUGUUAUGUUGGCUAUUCAAUUGUCCCCAAAAAAAGAAAAAAUAAAUAAAUCAAUUGGCGUUAGUAGUAGAGCGAUCGAUAUUUUAUUCAUAGUUGAACAUUUCUAAAAUUUUGGUUCUACUUCUAAAUUGCAUUUCCAAAUUUAGAAAUUUUUAGUUGUAGAGCGAUAUAUUAUUGCAUUUCUACAUUAUUUUUGGUUGUUAAUGUGUAAGGAAAUACAGAUGAAAUCAUCAAAUAGUAGAUAAACUCAUAAAAAAGCAGUAGUAGCUGAUUUGCUUUUUUUGGUUUCUUAUAACUAGGGGGAGAUCCCGCACACUCUUAAUACCUGUGAAGUUAGUACCUGUGUGGUGAAAGAGUUAUUGAGGUAGCAAUUAACAAAUUUCUAAGAAGACAGUGGAAGAAAGCAAAACAAAAGGUGUCUUAACAAUUCCUACAUGCUUAAUUAGCGUGAAAUACCUUAGAAAUGGCAACUUUAUGGACAAUGGAGCAAGUUCCAUAAGAUAAUAAUACUUGAUAGUUCUCACAUAUUAGUACCAUCUCAAACAUGUCUCAAUCAUUGAUUUUAAUUGAUGACAUUUUCCUAUUGACACUAAUUACACUCUCUUCCGACAAAUUUCCAAUAGUCUACCACACCCACAUUUAAAAGGGCACUAUCAUAACAACAUAUUGAAGCAUGCAUGAUCAUGUUGUACUUUGUGCUUAACCAUUUGCAUUACAUUUUUCUUCUUGCAUAUUUACCUCUCUAGACGUUAGAUGAAGUUUUCCUAAACGUCAGCUGAAAAGUGCUUUUAAUAUAUGUAUAGGAUGUCAAUAAAUAAAGGGUAUGGUUUUGUAAAAGGAGUGGAAAUGACUGGAUAUUCAUCUAAAAUAUUUUAUUUUCUCAAAACCUUAUUAUUUUUAUUUCUGAAGCGAACGAAAAGUUUAGGGAACAAGUAGUUUUUUCAAUUCUGGCAGGUUCGACCAUUGAAUCCAGAACCAAUUAGGUAUUCGGUCUGAUUUUCCUUAAAAAAACUUACUAAUUCAAUCUUGGUCAACUCCAUAAAAAACUGUGUUAAACCGGUGAUAAUUCUUUUUUUUUUUGUUCAAAUAUAUCUUUCAAAUCCAAUCAGAAAACCGCUUUAAAUUGUCAAUGCAAAAUCGGUUAUAACCGUUUUUUCCAUUUUUUUAAAACAUUUUAACUGACCUUUAAAUGAAAAAGGAGGUACUACGAGGGAACCUUAAAUCCUUAUAUUUUUGCCAUUCACUACUCCUCUUGUUGUCGCUUGACCCACUUAUCCUUCCUCAACUUGACACCGUCAGCCUCAACUCCAAUUUGACACUCAUAGCUUCAUCUAGUUUACAUCUCUCCAUUUACAGCGUCAGCAAAAAUACUCUUGAGUAGUAGUAGAAUUAUGCUCAAGAUGACAUUCCAUGCCACCUAGUUGCUUUGGAUGGUAUAAUAUGGACUAUGGAGCUUGCAGUUCAGUAAAUAAGCCAGUACUUAUCUAGGACAAAGAUGACCUUAGCAUUGCCUUAGCACAUUUGAUGUUCCACUUUCCUCUUUUUGCUUUCUUCUUCCUCGCUUUUUACAAAAUUAUUAACUGUAGUUCAGUUUAGUGUAGAAAUACUUAUUGUAAUUAAUUUAGUUUUGUUACAGCUUGUGGCUAGUUGAUCAACAUCUAAGAUUGUCGUGGCUAGCAUAGCUAAUGCGUCAGCUGCACUAUUUUGUUUAAGAAACGGAUGAUUUAUGACAUAGUUAUAUGUAAAAUAUAAAAAUUGCUAAUCGUGUUCUGUAUUCUUAUGAAUGGAACUUGUUAGCGUAUAUUACUUUUAUUAUCUUUGUCUCUCCUAUUGUUUUGCUAUCCUAUGUAACUGCUGUACGAUUAGGAUAGAAUUAGUUUUUGUAUUCAAAGAUAGAACUAGUUAGUUGUAUGAUAAAGAUAGAAUUAACAUAGUAUUCUAGUACGUUAUGCUAAAAGUCUGUAAUUUGCCUUUGUAUAUAUUCUAGUACGUUAGACUAGAAGUCUGUAAUUUGCCUUUGUAUAUAUUCCCUAUUAUACAUGACACUCGGGAAUCAAAAAAAUAAAAUGCCACUUUUUGACAUGAUAUUAGAGCAAUGAUCCUUCUUACUUGUUUCUCCGUAUCUUAACUUUUUAUUAUUUCCUCAUUUUAAUAUUUUAUUAUUUCUACUUGUUGAGUUCUUGAAACAAUGAUAGAGCAAACUGAAUCACAAAAUAUAGGAAGUUCCUUGAUUGGUGAUUUGUUCUGUGAUCUAAGUUCAAACGAUGUAACAAAUUUUUUGCUUUUCACUACUUCAAUUAGCAAUGGGACAAUAGACAGAUCAUCUAUCCAUUAUGUCUAUCUACUUUCCUGUCCAAUGCAAAACUACAUUGUUCUACUUCUUAAUACUGUUGAUGUGGCACAAAAACGUUUGGCUGCUUUAUGCUUCUUCUUCAUUUUUUUUGGUUUCCUUUAUUUACACAACUUAGUUAUAAUUUCCAAAACUCUAUUACUACUGUUACAAUUCCCAAAACCUGUUGCUAUCGUUUUCAGCCUAGAAGACAAAGGAAGUUCUUCAACAAAAUAAUUAUUUUUCUUUCUAGUGUAAGUAAAAGCAAACAAUUUUGGGAACGUUAUUAUUAAGCAAGAGACUUGAGUGUCAAGAAGAUUUGCGACUUCUUUUGUCGAUGGUAAGAAAAAAUAAUGUUCAUCUAUACAAUUGCUUCUUAUCCCUUAAAUAUUUUUCUUUUUAUUGUUUAUAAUAAGCACUUGAACAAAUGUUCAUAUUCAACCUCACUCGUCAAACUAGUUGUUAUAUUAUGAGUUAUAAACUAACAUUUGAUAAUAUAUCAAUUGUCUUUAUUUUGUCUUGAGAUUGAACAUUUCUUUAUGAGUAUGUUCAGAAAAAAAAGCUUCAUGGAAAAGAAUAAGGCAAGUUAUGAGAAUUUCUUAGAGACAUAAUAUCAAACAAAUGGUGAGACAACUUUUACAAGGAUCGGGAUAAAAAUAGAAAACUGUCAUUGUUGUAACCUAAGUUAAAUAGUGUUUUUGGAAAAAAAAAAAACUAAGAAGAAGAAGAAGAAGCGUAUGGCAGCCAAAUGUCUGAAGUUUUGUUAUGUGCCAUAUAAGCAGUGUUAGUAACUGGACCUACGUAGUUUUGCAUUGAACAUAAAAGUACACAAACAUAAUGGAAAGAGGAUCACAUCUGUUACCUUUCCAUUAAAGCUCACCGUCAACCUCAUUUCCUCUUCACGCAUAAUACACACAAUUAUGAGAACUCAUUCCUGAACAUUCUUUUCCUCCACGGCCUCAGUAGUUAAGAGGGGAAAUGCAAACUCAUUUUAUCACCUAAUGUCACAUUUUUUCUCAAAUUGGCCCCACUCUUUUACAACAUCCAAACUGCAUUCUGGACGUCUACCGACCUUUGACUCCUUGAUCUAAAACCAACCGGGCCCCUGCCAAAUCCAUGGCGCACAACGUGGUUGAUUUCUUGAUGAUCCUUUUUGGUGGGUUAAGUGGAACCAUAGUAACUGAAGAGAUUUGCUGGUAUGUUGAUAGGAAGAGAGAGAAGGGACUUGGACAUCUUAUCGAACAAGAAAAAAUUGUUGAUAAGUGAAUCUGUGAGGAUGAUGAACUUAUCAACAAUCGCUUAGCAGAUAUUGGCGUAAAAAGGGCAUCAUCACUGGCUGCUUUUGAAGCCCUAAAAGAAAAAGACCAUAAUACUACUUUUGCGGCUCCUUAUGAUAGUAAUAUAUUCAAAAUGAUUUAAUCCUUAUAGAUUAAACUUAGAGUAUUUAAGGUUAAUGAUGCAAAUCUAUUUUUCUUUUUUUAUAGAUUUUUGGAAGAAAAAUGAUGAUUAGAUAGUUUGAGAUAUGAUUUGUGAGAGAUCUGUUAAAGUGCUCUUGGGGCUGAUAUUGUAUCUUGAAAUGUAAUCAAAUUUUUAAUUUUUUUUUGUUUAUUAGCCUAGAUUUGAAAGUGUUUAUUUAUUGAGACAACAAAACUUAUGCAUGCUUUUGGAUUAAUGCUGUCAAAAGAUAAAAAGAUUUUUUUCCCCUUUAACUGCAAAUAAAUGUCCAAAAAUUGCAUCCGGAUCUAAUAUUUGGCAAAAUCAAUAUUUCUUAGUUUCAGGUAAGAAGAAAGUCUCUUUUAACAACAUGGAUAUUUCUUCACCCUUGGAUUCGGUAAUUUUCAGAAUACGAAUAUAAUUGAUUGUGACUAAUCAUUGCUUUAAUUGCUCAAUUAGUUUUGAUGGGUCAGUUGUUAAUCCCUGGCAUAGAUAAUAGUUUAAAAAAUGAAACUACAUCCAAAAAUGCUAUCAAAUGUCCUCUUAUUUAUGUUUGCGCAGAAUUUUUGCAUCAACAGAUAAUGGUGGAUCAUCUGUUAGAAGAUUCUCUGAGUUACUUGUUCUUUUCAAUGUUUUUUUAUAGUAGCAUACUAGAGUAGACAUAUCAUAAACAAUGAGUUCUCUGGCAUAUGGAUGAUCUGGUUCAGCAAAUCUUCCAUUGCUUGAAAAUGGCAUAGAUGUGGAUCAAUCCCAGCAUGCUGCAUACAUAUUUAUAUGAUUAUAUCUUGCAAUGUCUGACUUAUAGUGGUAAAGCUAAUAUUGUGAUUAAUUUAUGGUUAGGGAGAUGUUGAUUAUUGGUAAAGUAAUUACCAUUGUGUAUGAUAGGGGGAAACGUCUCGAAUGAGUAUACUAAAAAAUCCAAUAUGUAAUUUCGGAAUCUAAUUUUGAUCCAAAAGUUUAAACUAUUAGGUUUUGAACCAUUACUUACAUAUUAACCGAUUUUUCUCUAUUUCUCGGACCAAUAUGGGACAUAACCUUUUACUCAAAAAGCUAACAAAUAUCCCCCUUCAUGAGUAACUUUCACAAUAAAUCCAAAUUUACAACUCAUUUUUCCGGCACAUUUUAAUACUCAACGCAAACUCAUUUUAUCACCUAAUGCCACAUUUUUUUUCCAAAUAUGGACCUACUCUUUUUCAACAUCCAAACUGCAAUCUGGACGUCUGCCAACCUUUGACUCCAUGGUCUAACACCAACCGGACCCCUGCCAAAUCCAUGGCGCACAACAUGGUUGAUUUUUCUUGAUAUUCCUUUUUGGUGGGUUAAGUGGAACCAUAGUAACUGAAGAGAUUUGCUGGUAUGCUGAUAGGAAAAGAGAGAAGGGACUUGGUCAUCUUAUUAAACAAAAGGAAAUUGUUGAUGAGUGAAUCUGUGAAGAUGAUGAACUUGUCAACAAUCAAUUAGCAAAUAUUGGCACAAAAAGGGCAUCAUUACUGGCUGCUUUUGAAGCACCAAAAGAAAAAGGCCAUAAUGCUACUUUUGUGCCUCCUCGUGAUAGUAAUAUAUUCAAAAUGAUUUAAUCCUUAUAGAUUAAACUUAGAGUAUUUAAGGUUAAUGAUGCAAAUCUAUAUUUCUUUUUGUAGAUUUUUGGAAGAAAAAUGAUGAUUAGACAGUUUGAGGUACGAUUUGUGAGAGAUCUGUUAAAGUGCUCUUGGGGCUGAUGUUGUAUCUUGAAAUGUAAUCAAUUUUUACUUUUUUUUGUUUAUUUUCCUAGAUUUGAAAGUGUUUAUUUAUUGAGACAACAAAACUUAUGCAUGCUUUUGGAUUAAUACUGUGAAAAGAUAAAAAAAAUUUUUCCCCCUUUAACUGCAAAUAAAUGUCUAAAAAUUGCAUCCGGAUCUAAUAUUUGGCAAAAUCAAUAUUUCUUAGUUUCGGGUUAGAAGAAAGUCUCUUUUAACAACAUGGAUAUUUCUUCACCCUUAGAUUCGGUAAUUUUCAGAAUACGAACAUAAUUGAUUGUGACUAAUCAUUGCUCUAAUUGCUCAAUUAGUUUUGAUGGGUCAGUUGUUAAUCCCUGGCAUAGAUGAUAGUUUAAAAAAUGAAACUACAUCCAAAAAUGCUAUCAAAUGUCCUCUUAUUUAUGUUUGCACAGAAUUUUUGCAUCAACAGAUAAUGGUGGAUCAUCUGUUAGAAGAUUCUCUGAGUUACUUGUUCUUUUCAAUGUUUUUUAUAGCAGCAUACUAGAGUAGACAUAUCAUAAACAAUGAGUUCUCUGGCAUAUGGAUGAUCUGGUUCAGCAAAUCUUCCAUUGCUUGAAACUGGCAUAGAUGUGGAUCAGUCCUCGCAUGCAGCAUACAUAUUUAUAUGAUUAUAUCUUGCAAUGUCUGACUUAUAGUGGUAAAGCUAAUAUUGUGAUUAAAUUAUGGUUAGGGUGAUGUUGAUUAUUGGCAAAGUAAUUACCAUUGUGUAUGAUAGGGGGAAACGUCUCGAAUGAGUUUACUAAAAAACUCAACAUGUAAUUCCGGAAUUCAAUUUUGAUCCAAAAGUUUAAACUAUUAGGUUUCGGACCCUUACUUACAUAUUAACUAAUUUUUUUCUAUCUUUCGAACCAAUAUAGGAUAUAACCUUUUACUCACGAAGCUAACAAAUCUCCCCCUUUAUGAGUAACCUUCACAAUAAAUCCAAAUUUACAAGUCAUUUUUCCGGCACAUUUUAAUACUCAACGCAAACUCAUUUUAUCACCUAAUGUCACAUUUUUUUCCAAAUAUGAACCCACUCUUUUUCAACAUCCAAACUGCGUUCUGGACGUCUGCCAACCUUUGCCUCCAUGGUCUAACACCAACCGGACUCCUGCCAAAUUCAUGGCGCACAACAUGGUUGAUUUCUUGAUGAUCCUUUUUGGUGAGUUAAGUGGAACCAUAGUAACUUAAGAGAUUUGCUGGUAUGUUGAUAGGAAGAGAGAGAUGGGACUUGGUCAUCUUAUCAAACAAAAGAAAAUUGUUGAUAAGUGAAUCUGUUAACAUGAUGAACUUAUCAACAAUCACUUAGCGAAUAUUGGCGCAAAAAGAGCAUCAUCACUUGCUGCCUUUGAAGCACCAAAAGAAAAAGGCCAUAAUGCUACUUUUAUGCCUCCUCCUGAUAGUAAUAUAUUCAAAACCAUUUAAUCUUUAUAGAUUAAACUUAGAGUAUUUAAGGUUAAUGAUGCAAAUCUAUAUUUCUUUUUGUAGAUUUUUGGAAGAAAAAUGCUGAUUAGACAGUUUGAGGUAUGAUUUGUGACAGAUCUGUUAUAGUACUUUUGGGGCUGAUGUUGUAUCUUGAAAUGUAAUCAAUUUUUAAGUUUUUUUUGUUUAUUAGCCUAGAUUUGAAAUUGUUUAUUUAUUGAGACAACAAAACUUAUGCAUGUUUUUGUAUUAAUGCUAUCAAAAGAUAAAAAGAUUUUUUCUCCUUUAACAGCCAAUAACUGUCGAAAAAUUGCAUCCGAAUCUAAUAUUUGGCAAAAUCAAUAUUUCUAAGUUCCAGGUAAGAAGAAAGUCUCUUUUAACUACAUGGAUAUUUCAUUACCCUUGAAUUCAGUAAUUUUCAGAAUACGAACAUAAUUGGUUGUGACUAAUCGUUGCUCUAAUUGCUCAAUUAGUUUUAAUGGGUUAGUUGUUAAUCCCUGCCAUAGAUGAUAGUUUAAAAAAUGAAACUACAUCCAAAAAUGCUAUCAAAUGUCCUCAUAUUUAUGUUUGCGUAGAAUUUUUGCAUCAACGGAUAAUGAUUGAUCAUCUGUUUGAAGAUUCUCUGAGUUACUUGUUCUUUUCAAUGUUUUUUAUAGUAGCAUACUAGUAUAGGCAUAUCAUAAACAAUGAGUUCUCUGGCAUAUGGAUGAUCUGGUUCAACAAAUCUUCCAUUGCUUGAAAAUGGCAUAGAUGUUGAUCAGUCCCAGCAUGCUGCAUACAUAUUUAUAUGAUUAUAUCUUGCAAUGUCUGACUUAUAGUGGUAAAGCUACUCUUGUGAUUAAUUUAUGAUUAGGGAUAUGUUGACUAUUGGCAAAGGAAUUACCAUUGUGUAUGAUAGGGGGAAACGUAUCGAAAGAAUCUACUAAAAAAUCCAAUAUGUAAUUCCGAAAUCUAAUUUUGAUCCAAAAGCUUAAACUAUUAUGUUUCGGACCCUUAGUUACAUAUCAACCGAUUUUUUUUCUAUUUUUCGAACCAAUGUAGGACAUAACCAUUUAAUCACAAACCUAACAAAUCUCCCUGUUCAUGAGUAAUCUCCACAAUACCAUUGUGUAUGUUGACUAUUGUUUAUGAUUAGGGAUAUGUUGACUAUUGGCAAAGGAAUUACCAUUGUGUAUGAUAUGGGGAAACGUAUCGAAAGAGUCUACUAAAAAUUCCAAUAUGUAAUUCCAGAAUCCAAUUUUGAUCCAAAAGUUUAAACUAUUAUGUUUCGGACCCUUACUUACAUAUUAAUCGAUUUUCUCUAUCUUUCGAACCAAUGUAGGACAUAACAAUUUACUCACAAACAUAACAAAUCUCCCUGUUCAUGAGUAACCUCCACAAUAAAUCCAAAUUUAAAAGUCAUUUUUUCGGCACAUUUUAAUACUCAACGCAAACUCAUUUUAUCACCUAAUGUCACAUUUUUUUUUUCCAAAUAUGGACCCACUCUUUUUCAACAUCCAAACUGUAUUCUGGACGUCUGACAACCUUUGACUCCGUGGUCUAACACCAACCGGACCCCUGCCAAAUCCAUGGCGCACAACAUGAUUUAUUUCUUGAUGAUCCUUUUUGGUGAGUUAAGUGGAACCAUAGUAACUGAAGAGAUUUGCUAGUAUGUUGAUAGGAAAAGAGAGAUGGGACUUCGACAUCUUAUCAAACAAAAGAAAAUUGUUGAUGAGUGAAUCUGUGAAGAUGCUGAACUUAUCAACAAUCACUUAACAAAUAUUGGCGCAAAAAGGGCAUCAUCACUUGCUGCCUUUGAAGCACCAAAAGAAAAAGGCCAUAAUGCUACGUUUAUGCCUUCUCCUGAUAAUAAUAUAUUCAAAACGAUUUUAUCCUUAUAGAUUAAAUUUAGAGUAUUUAAGGUUAAUGAUGCAAAUCUAUAUUUCUUUUUGCAGAUUUUUGGAAGAAAACUGAUGAUUAGACAGUUUGAGGUUUGAUUUGUGACAGAUCUGUUAUAGUGCUUCUGGGGUUGAUGUUGUACCUUGAAAUGUAAUCAAUUUUUAAAUUUUUUUUGUUUAUUAGCCUAGAUUUGAAAGUGUUUAUUUAUUGAGGCAACAAAACUUAUGCAUUUUUUGGAUUAAUGCUAUCAAAAGAUAAAAAGAUAUUUUUCCCUUUAACAGCCAAUAAAUGUCAAAAAAUUGUAUCCGAAUCUAAUAUUUGGCAAAAUCAAUAUUUCUUAGUUUCAGGUAAGAAGAAAGUCUCUUUUAACUACAUGGAUAUUUCUUUACCCUUGAAUUUGGUAAUUUUCAGAAUACGAACAUAAUUGGUUGUGACUAAUCGUUGCUCUAAUUGCUCAAUUAGUUUUAAUGGGUUAGUUGUUAAUCCCUGCCAUAGAUGAUAGUUUAAAAAAUGAAACUACAUCCAAAAAUGCUAUCAAAUGUCCUCAUAUUUAUGUUUGCGUAGAAUUUUUGCAUCAACGGAUAAUGGUUGAUCAUCUGUUGGAAGAUUCUCUGAGUUACUUGUUUUUUUCAUUAUUUUUUAUAGUAGCAUACUAGUGUAGGCAUAUCAUAAACAAUGAGUUCUCUGGCAUAUGGAUGAUCUGGUUCAACAAAUCUUCCAUUGCUUGAAAAUGGCAUAGAUGUUGAUCAGUCCCAGCAUGCUGCAUACAUAUUUAUAUGACUAUAUCUUGCAAUGUCUGACUUAUAGUGGUAAAGCUAUUCUUGUGAUUAAUUUAUGAUUAUGGAUAUGUUGACCAUUGGCAAAUGAAUUACCAUUGUGUAUGAUAGGGGGAAACGUCUCGAAAGACUAUACUAAAAAAUCCAAUAUGUAAUUUCGGAAUCCAAUUUUGAUCCAAAAGUUUAAACUAUUAUGUUUCGUACCCUUACUUACAUAUUAACCGAUUUUUCUCUAUCUUUCGAACCAAUGAAAGACAUAACCAUUUACUCACAAACCUAACAAAUCUCCCUGUUCAUGAGUAACUUUCACAAUAAAUCCAAAUUUACAAGUCAUUUUUUAGGCACAUUUUAAUACUCAACGCAAACUCAUUUUAUCACUUAAUGUCACAUUUUUUUUUUCAAAUAUGGACUCACUUUUUUUCAACAUGCAAACUGCAUUAUGGACGUCUGCCGACCUUUGACUCUGUGGUCUAACACCAACCGGACGCCUGCCAAAUCCAUGGCGCACAACAUGGUUGAUUUCUUGAUAAUCCUUUUUGGUGGGUUAAGUGGAACCAUCGUAAUUGAAGAGAUUUGUUGGUAUGUUGGUAGGAAGAGAGAGAAGGGACUUGAACAUCAUAUCGAACAAGAGGAAAUUGUUGAUGAGCGAAUCUGUGAGGAUGAUGAACUUAUCAAUAAUCACUUAGCAAAAAUCGGCGCAAAAAGGGCAUCAUCACUGGCUGUUUUUUAAACCCUAAAAGAAAAAGGCCAUAAUGCUAAUUUUGUGCCAACUCCUCAUAGUAAUGUAUUCAAAAAAAUUUAUUCUUUAUAGAUUAAAUUUAGAGUAUUUAGGGUUAAUGAUGCAAGUCUAUAUUUCUUUUUAUAGAUUUUUGGUAGCAAAAUGAUGAUUAGACAGUUUGAGGUAUGAUUUGUGAUAGAUCUGUUGAAGUGCUCUUGGGGCUGAUGUUGUAUCCUGAAAUAUAAUCAAAUUUUAUGUUUUUUUUUGUUUAUUAGCCUGGAUUUGAAAAUAUUUAUUUAUUGAGACAACAAAACUUAUGCAUGUUUUUGGAUUGAUGCUGUCAAAAGAUAAAAAGAUUUUUUCCCCUUUAACAGCUAAUAAAUGUUAAAAAAUUGCAUCCGAAUCUAAUAUUUGGCAAAAUAAACAUUUCUUAGUUUCAGGUAAGAAGAAAGUCUCUUUUAACUACAUGGAUAUUUUUUCACCCUUGGAUUCGGUAAUUUUAACAUAAUUGGUUGUGACUAAUCAUUGCUCUAAUUGCUCAAUUAGUUUUGAUGGGUCAGUUGUUAAUCCAUGGCAUAGAUGAUAGUUUAAAAAAUGAAACUACAUCCAAAAAUGCUAUCAAAUAUCGUCAUAUUUAUGUUUGCGCAGAAUUUUUGCAUCAACGGAUAAUGGUUGAUCAUCUGUUAGAAGAUUCUCUGAGUUACUUGUUCUUUUCAAUGUUUUUUUAUAGUAGCAUACUAUUGUAGGCAUAUAAAAAACAAUGAGUUCUCUGGCAUAUGGAUGAUCUGGCUCAGCAAAUCUUCCGUUGCUUGAAAAUGGCAUAGAUGUGGAUUAGCCCCCGCAUGCUGCAUACAUAUUUAUAUGAUUAUAUCUUGCAAUGUCAGACUUAUAGUGGUAAAGCUAAUCUUGUGAUUAAUUUAUUGUUAGGGAUUGUGUUGAUUAUUGGCAAAGUAAUUACCAUUGUGUAUGAUAGGGGGAAAUGUCUCAAAUAAGUCUACUAAAAAACUCAACAUGUAAUUUCGGAAUUCAAUUUUGAUCCAAAAUUUUAAACUAUUACCCUUAUUUACAUGUUAAUCGAUUUUUCUCUAUCUCCCGAACCAGUAUGGGACAUAACCAUUUGUUCACAAAGCUAACAAAUCUCCCCUUUCAUGAGUAACCUCCACAAUAAUCCAAAUUUACAAGUCAUUUUUCCGGCACAUUUUAAUACUCAAGGCAAACUCAUGUUAUCACCUAAUGUCACAUUUUUUUUUUCAAAUAUGGACAUACUAUUUUUCAACAUCCAAACUGCAUUCUGGUUAUCUGCCAACCUUUGACUCUGUGGUCUAACACCAACCGGACCCCUGCCAAAUCCAUGGCGUACAACAUGGUUGAUUUUUUGAUGAUCCUUUUGGUGGGUUAAAUGGAACCAUCGUAACUGAAGAGAUUUGCUGGUAUGUUGAUAGGAAGAGAGAGAAGGGACUUGGUCAUCUUAUCAAACAAAAGGAAAUUGUUGAUGGGUGAAUCUGUGAAGAUGAUGAACUUAUCAACAAUCACUUAGCAAAUGUUGGCGCAAAAAGGGCAUCAUCACUGUCUGCUUUUGAAGCACCAAAAGAAAAAGACCAUAAUGCUACUUUUGUGCCUCCUCCUUAUAGUGGUAAAGCUGUUCUUGUGAUUAAUUUAUGGUUAGAGAGAUGUUGAUUAUUGGUAAAGUAAUUACCUUUGUGUAUGAUAGGGGAAACGUCUCGAAUGAGUCUACUAAAAAACUCAAUAUGUAAUUUCGGAAUUCAAUUUUGAUCCAAAAGUUUAAACUUUAGGUUUCGGAUCUUACUUACAUAUUAACCGAUUUUUCUCUAUCUCUCAAACCAAUGUGGGACAUAACCAUUUACUCACAAACCUAACAAAUCUCCCCCUUCAUGAGUAAUCUCCGCAAUAAAUUCAAAUUUACAAGUUAUUUUUCCGGCACAGUUUAAUACUUAACGCAAACUCAUUUUAUCACAUAAUGUCACAUUUUUUUUCAAAUGUGGACCCACUCUUUUUCAAUAUCCAAACUGCAUUCUGGACGUUUACUAACCUUUGACUCCAUGGUCUAAUACCAACCGGAUGCCUGCCAAAUCCAUUGGCGUACAACAUGGUUGAUUUCUUGAUGAUCCUUUUUGGUGAGUUAAAUGGAACCAUCGUAACUGAAGAGAUUUGCUAGUAUGUUGAUAGGAAGAGUGAGAAGGGACUUCGACAUCUUAUCGAAUAAGAAGAAAUUGUUGAUGAGUGGAUCUGUGAAGAUGAUGAACUUAUCAACAAUCACUUAGCAAAUAUUGGCAUAAAAAGGGCAUCAUCACUGGUUGCUUUUGAAGCCAUAAAUGAAAAAGGCCAUAAUGCUACUUUUGUGCCUCCUUCUGAUAUUAAUAUAUUAAAAAAGAUUUAAUCUUUAUAGAAUAAAUUUAGAGUAUUUAAGGUUAAUGAUGCAAAUCUAUAUUUCUUUUUAUAGAUUUUUGGAAGAAAAAUGAUGAUUAGACAAUCUAAGGUAUGAUUUGUGACAGAUCUGUUAAAAUGCUCUUGGGGUUGAUGUUGUAUCUUGAAAUGUAAUCAAUUUUUAAGUUUUUUUGUUUAUUAGCCUAGAUUUGAAAGUGUUUAUUUAUUGAGACAGCAAAACUUAUGCAUGCUUUUGGAUUAAUGCUAUCAAAAGAUAAAAAGAUUUUUUUCCCCUUUAACUGCCAAUAAAUGUUGAAAAGUUGCAUCCGGAUCUAGUAUUUGACAAAAUCAACAUUUCUUAGUUUCAGGUAAGAAGAAAGUCUUUUUUGACUACAUGGAUAUUUCUUCACCCUUGGAUUCGGUAAUUUUUAGAAUACGAACAUAAUUGGUUGUGACUAAUCAUUGAGCUAAUUGCUCAAUUAGUUUUGAUGGGUCAGUUGUUAAUCCUUGGCAUAGAUGAUAGUUUAAAAAAUGAAUCUACAUCAAAAAAAGCUAUCAAAUGUCCUCAUAUUUAUGCUUGCACAGAAUUUUUGCAUCAACGGAUAAUGGUGGAUCAUCUGUUAGAAGAUUCUCUGAAUUACUUGUUCUUUUCAUUGUUUUUUCUAGUAGCAUACUAGUAUAGUUUUAUCAUAAACAAUGAGUUCUCUGGCAUAUGGAUGAUCUGGUUCAGCAAAUCUUCCAUUGCUUGAAAAUGGUAUAGAUGUGGAUCAAUCCCAGCAUGCUGCAUACAUAUUUAUAUGAUUAUAUCUUGCAAUGUGCUGACUUAUAGUGGUAAAGCUACUCUUGUGAUUAAUUUAUGGUAAGGAAUAUGUUGAUUAUUGGCAAAGUAAUUACCAUUGUGUAUGAUAGGGGGAAACGUUUCGAAAGAGUCUACUAAAAAACCCAAUAUGUAAUUCCGGAAACCAAUUCCGAUCCAAAAGUUUAAACUAUUAGGUUUCGGAUCUUACUUAUAUAUUAACCGCUUUUUCUCUAUCUUUCGGACCAACGUGGGAAAUAACCCUUACUCACAAACCUAAUAAAUCUCCCCCUUCAUGAGUAAUCUCCACAUUAAACCCAAAUUUACAAGUCCUUAUUCGGGUUCAUUUUAAAACUCAAUGCAAACUCAUUUUAUCACCUAAUAUCACAUUUUUUCUCAAAUAUAGCCCCACUUUUUUACAAUAUCCAAAUUGCAUUCUGGAUGUUUGCCAACCUUUGACUCCUUGGUCUAACACCAACCGAACCCCUGCCUAAUCCAUGGCGCACAACAAGGUUGAUUUCUUGAUGAUCCUUUUUGGUGGGUUAAGUCGAAUCAUAGUAACUGAAGAGAUUUGCUGGUAUGUUGAUAGGAAGAUGAUGAACUUAUCAACAAUCGCUUAGCAAAUAUUGGCGCAAAAAGGGCAUCAUCCCUGGCUGCUUUUGAAACCCUAAAAGAAAAAGGCCAUAAUACUACUUUUGUGCCUCAUUCUGAUAGUAAUAUAUUCAAAAUGAUUUAAUCCUUAUAGAUCAAACUUUGAGUAUUUAAGUUAAUGAUGCAAAUCUAUAUUUCUUUUUUAUAGAUUUUAGGAAGAAAAAUGAUGAUUAUACAGUUUGAGGUAUGAUUUGUGAUAGAUCUGUUAAAGUGCUCUUGGGGUUGAUAUUGUAUCUUGAAAUGUAAUCAAUUUUUAAGUUUUUUUGUUUAUUAGUCUAGAUUUGAAAAUGUUUAUUUAUUGAGACAACAAAACUUAUGCAUGCUUUUGGAUUAAUGCUGUCAAAAGAUAAAAAGAUUUUUUUCCCCUUUAACUACCAAUAAAUGUCCAAAAAUUGCAUCCGGAUCUAGUAUUUGGCAAAAUCAACAUUUCUUAGUUUUGGGUAAAAAGAAAGUCUCUUUUAACUACAUGGAUAUUUCUUCACCUUUGGAUUCGGUAAUUUUUAGAAUACGAACAUAAUUGGUUGUGACUAAUCAUUGCUCUAAUUGCUCAAUUAGUUUUGAUGGGUCAGUUGUUAAUCCCUGGCAUAGAUGAUAGUUUAAAAAUGAAACUACAUCCAAAAAUGCUAUCAAAUGUCCUUGUAUUUAUGUUUGUGCAGAAUUUUUGCAUCAACGGAUAAUGGUGGAUAAUCUUUUAGAAGAUUCUCUGAAUUAUUUGUUCUUUUCAUUGUUUUUUCUAAUAGCAUACUAGUAUAGGUAUAUCAUAAACAAUGAGUUCUUUGGCAUAUGGAUGAUCUGGUUCAGCAAAUCUUCUAUUGCUUGAAAAUGGCAUCGAUGUGGAUCAGUCCCAGCAUGCUGCAUACAUAUUUUUAUGAUUAUAUCUUGCAAUGUCUGUUUUAUAGUGGUAAAGCUACUCUUGUGAUUAAUUUAUGGUAAGGCAUAUGUUGAUUAUUGGCAAAGUAAUUACCAUUGUGUAUGAUAGGGGGAAACGUCUCGAAAGAGUUUACUAAAAAAUUGAAUAUGUAAUUUCGGAAUCCAAUUCCGAUCCAAAAGUUUAAACUAUUAAGUUUCGAACUUUUACUUAUAUAUUAACCGCUUUUUUUCUAUCUCUCGGACCAAUGUGGGACAUAACCUUUUACUGACAAACCUAACAAAUCUCCCCCUUCAUGAGUAACCUUCACAUUAAACCCAAAUUUACAAGUCAUUUUUCGGACCCAUUUUAAAAGUCAACGCAAAAUCAUUUUACCACCUAAUGUCACAUUUUUUCUCAAAUUGGCCUCACUCUUUUACAACAUCCAAACUGCAUUCUGGACGUCUACCGACCUUUGACUCCUUGAUCUAAAACCAACCGGGCUCCUGCCAAAUCCAUGGCGCACAACGUGGUUGAUUUCUUGAUGAUCCUUUUUGGUGGGUUAAGUGGAACCAUAGUAACUGAAGAGAUUUGCUGGUAUGUUGAUAGGAAGAGAGAGAAGGGACUUGGACAUCUUAUCAAACAAAAGAAAAUUGUUGAUGAGUGAAUCUGUGAAGAUGAUGAACUUAUCAACAAUCAUUUAGUAAAUAUUGGCGUAAAAAAGGCAUCAUCACUAGCUACUUUUGAAGCCCUAAAAGAAAAAGGCCAUAAUGCUACUUUUGUGCCUCUUACUAAUAAUAAUAUAUUCAAAAAGAUUUAAUCUUUAUAGAUUAAACUUAGAGUAUUUAAAGUUAACGAUGCAAAUCUAUAUUUCUUUUUAUAGAUUUUUAGAAGAAAAAUGAUGAUUAGACAGUUUGAGGUAUGAUUUGUGAAUGAUCUGUUAAAGUGCUCUUGGGGUUGAUGUUGUAUCUUGAAAUGUAAUCAAUUUUUAAUUUUUUUUAGUUUAUUAGCCUAGAUUUGAAAAUGUUUAUUUAUUGAGACAACAAAACUUAUGCAUGCUUUUGGAUUAAGGCUGUCAAAGGUUAAAAAGAUUUUUUCCCCUUCAACUGCCAAUAAAUGUGAAAAAAUUGCAUCCGGAUCUAAUAUUUGGCAAAAUCAACAUUUCUUAGCUUCAGGUAAGAAGAAAGUCUCUUUUAACUACAUGGAUAUUUCUUCACCCUUGCAUUCGGUAAUUUUCAGAAUACGAACAUAAUUGGUUGUAACUAAUCAUUGCUCCAAUUGCUCAAUUAGUUUUGAUGGGUCAGUUGUUAAUCCCUAGCAGAGAUGAUAGUUUAAAAAAUGAAACUACAUCCAAAAAUGCUAUCAAAUGUCCUCAUAUUUAUGUUUGCGUAGAAUUUUUACAUCAAUGGAUAAUGGUGGAUCAUCUGUUAGAAGAUUUUCUGAGUUACUUGUUUUUUUCAUUCUUUUUUCUAGUAGCAUACUAGUGUAGGCAUAUCAUAAACAAUGAGUUCUAUGGCAUAUGGAUGAUCUGGUUCAGCAAAUCUUCCAUUGCUUGAAAAUGGCAUAGAUGUGGAUUAGUCCCAGCAUGCUGCAAACAUAUUUAUAUGAUUAUAUCUUGCAAUGUCUGACUUAUAGUGGUAAAGCUACUCUUGUGAUUAAUUUAUGGUGAGAUGUUGAUUAUUGACAAAGUAAUUACCAUUGUGUAUGAUAGGGAGAAACAUCUCGAAUGAGUUUACUAAAAAACUCAAUAUGUAAUUCCGGAAUCCAAUUCUGAUUCAAAAGUUUAAACUAUUAGGUUUCGUACCUUUACUUAUAUAUUAACCGCUUUUUUUCUAUCUCUCGGACCAAUGUGGGACAUAACCUUUUACUGACAAACCUAACAAAUCUCCCCCUUCAUGAGUAAUCUCCAUAAUAAAUCCAAAUUUACAAGUCUUUUUUCCGACCCAUUUUAAUAGUCAAUGCAAACUCAUUUUAUCACUUAAUGUCACAUUUUUUUUCAAAUAUGAACCCACUUUUUUACAACAUCUAAACUGCGUUUUGGACGUCUGCCAACCUUUGCCUCCGUGGUCUAACACCAACCGGACUCCUGCCAAAUUCAUGGCGCACAACAUGGUUGAUUUCUUGAUGAUCCUUUUUGGUGAGUUAAGUGGAACCAUAGUAACUGAAGAGAUUUGCUGGUAUGUUGAUAGGAAGAGAGAGAUGGGACUUGGUCAUCUUAUCAAACAAAAGAAAAUUGUUGAUAAGUGAAUCUGUUAAGAUGAUGAACUUAUCAACAAUCACUUAGCAAAUAUUGGCGCAAAAAGAGCAUCAUCACUUGCUGUCUUUGAAGCACCAAAAGAAAAAGGCCAUAAUGCUACUUUUGUGCCUAUUCCUAAUAGUAAUGUAUUCAAAAAAAAUUUAUUCUUUAUAGAUUAAACUUAGAGUAUUUAAGGUUAAUGAUGCAAAUCUAUAUUUCUUUUUAUAAAUUUUUGGAAGCAAAAUGAUGAUUAGACAGUUUGAGGUAUGAUUUGUGAUAGAUCUGUUAAAGUGCUCUUGGGGCUGAUGUUGUAUCUUGAAAUGUAAUCAAUUUUUACUUUUUCUUUUGUUUAUUAGCCUAGGUUUGAAAUUGUUUAUUUAUUGAGACAACAAAACUUAUGCAUGCUUUUGGAUUAAUGCUGUCAAAAGCUAAAAGAUUUUUUUCCCCUUUAACUGCAAAUAAAUGUCGAAAAAUUGGAUCCGGAUCUAAUAUUUGGCAAAAUCAACAUUUCUUAGUUUCAGGUAAGACGAAAGUCUCUUUUAACUACAUGGAUAUUUUUUCACCCUUGGAUUCGGUAAUUUUUAGAAUACGAACAUAAUUGGUUGUGACUAAUCAUUGCUCUAAUUGCUCAAUUAGUUUUGAUGGGUCAAUUGUUAAUCCUUGACAUAGAUGAUAGUUUAAAAAAUGGAACUACAUCCAAAAAUGCUAUCAAAUGUCCUCUUAUUUAUGUUUGCGCAGAAUUUUUGCAUCAACGGAUAAUGGUGGAUCAUCUGUUAGAAGAUUUUCUGAGUUACUUGUUCUUUUCAUUCUUUUUUCUAGUAGCAUACUAGUGUAUGCAUAUCAUAAACAAUGAGUUCUCUGGCAUAUGGAUGAUUUGGUUCAGCAAAUCUUCCAUUGCUUGAAAAUGGCAUAGAUGUGGAUCAAUCCCAGUAUGCUGUAUACAUAUCUAUAUGAUUAUAUCUUGCAAUGUCUGACUUAUGGUAGUAAAGCUGCUCUUGUGAUUAAUUUAUGGUUAGGGAGAUGUUGAUUAUUGGCAAAGUAAUUACGAUUGUGUAUGAUAGGGGGAAACGUUUCAAGAGAGUCUACUAAAAAACCCAAUAUGUAAGUCAGAAAUCCAAUUCUAAUCCAAAAAUUUAAACUAUUAGAUUUCGGACCAUUACUUACCUAUUAACCACUCAUUUUCUAUCUCUUGAACCAAUUUGGGGCAUAAUCUUUUACUCAUAAAUCUAACAAAUCUCUCCGUUCAUGAGUAAAUUUACAAGCCUUUUUUUUAACCCAUUUUUAUAUUCAACGCAUACUCAUUUUAUCACCUAAUGUCAUCUUUUCUCCCAAAUAUGGACCCACUCUUCUUCAACAUGCAAACUGCAUUUUGGACAUCUGCCAACCUUUGGCUCCUUGGUCUAACACCAACCGGACCCCUGCCAAAUUCAUGGUGCACCUGGUCCAACACUAACCAAACUCCUUAGUAUUUUGGCACUUCAAUCCACCAUCAAGAAGAGCAUUUUCACCGGUCCAAUACCGAGAAAAAUUCACUUGCCCAUGAGUUAUCCAAUUUUAUAAUCUGAAAUUCUGAUACCAAUUUGAUAGGGGGAAACCGCUUGAGAGAGUCUACCAAAGAGCCUAAUAUAUAAGUCAGGAAUCCAAUUCUGACUCAAAAACUUAAGUCAUUAGGUUUCGGACCUUACUUACAUAUUAAUCCUCUUUCUCUAUCUUUCGAAUCAAUGUGAGACAUAACUCUUUACUGAACCUAACAGUAUACAGGCACAACCAAAUUUUUUUUUUUUGGAGGGAAAAAGAAACGCACAACCAGUUACUUGCAAAUAGUUGAUUAGUUGGAUUAAGUUUGUCACAUGAAUUCUUGGGUGGUUGAUUUCAAUUUUACUAACAUUUGCAUGUCCAGAGACUUGAUGGUAUUUUAGUUUCAUUGCUUUUUUAUAGUCAUGGUUCAUUCAUUGGACAACAGCAAGGGAAAUAUGCUCUUGAUUUAUUUUUUUUUUUCUUUUGCUUUUCUAUGAUACACUAUUUUCUGUAAUGCUAAUACUACAUUGUUUAUCUCUAUAGUGCCAGAGAGACAAAACAGCAGCAGCAGCAGCAGCAGCAGCAUUUGGUGGGGAGAGCAAUUUUCCAUUUCCAUCAGCAAAACUCUCUCUUUUAGGUUGUUGCCUUUGUUAUUUGUCAACUAUCUAUCUCUAAUUAACUCCUUUCGCGUUGCUUGCAUAAUUUGGCAAACUGUUGCCUCUGUCUAUAUAUUAUGAAUUACUACAUCGUUGAACUGAACCCUUUUCUUUUGGACGAUAGUAGGGGCUUAAUUAGCAUUAUCAAGGAUGACUGUAAUUAACAGCUAGCGCUUGAGUGCUUGUCUUAGGUUAUUUACUAUUGGUCUCUUACUAAUUGCUCCAAAAAGAAUUACAUUAUUGAAUUCUGAUUUUAUUGGAGCAAGUAGAUGGCUUUCAAUUUGCAAUCCUGACUACUGAAUCUUGUGAAAAAAUAUGCUGCCUACAGGCCAUUUUGUCUACCAAUAUAGUUUUAUUCUGUUAUUCAGUCACCUCUCCACUUGAGAGUUUUGCUCUCUCUCUCAAAAGAACAGACUUCGGUUGCUGCAGAGUUCACCAGCCUAGUCAGCUGCAAAUAAGCAUGUCAAAGUUACUGUAAGACAUCAAUCAUUCCAAUGUAGUUUAUGGCGUAAUUUACCUUUGUAUAAACUGAUGAUAUAACAACAAACUUUUCUGUUUUGAGACAAAGACAUAAGAGCCUAUGCUUUAGUGUCUCGGAGCAAAUGCAUUGCAUCUCUUCAUGUAUAUUGAUAGAUUUAGUGCGCAAAAAAAUCUUUACAAUUAUCGGAAUUGAUACACAUUAUAUUCAUUCCAAUUUUUCUUAUUUUAUUAAAAUGAUUAAUUGUGUUCAAAAUUUUAAAUUUGCCAUGAUACCCUUGAAUUGCUAAUACCACUGUCUGGGCUUUGUAUUUAUUUCAAUGGUAAAGAAAUGAAGGCAGACAACAAGGUCAAAAUAGGAAUGAAGUUAUCAGUUCCAUUUUUCUUCAUGGGUUACAAAAAAAAUGUAUGCAUGCCAUGCCUGUGUUCCCUUGAAAAAACUAACUGGUGUUGUAGAGGAUGCAGGUAAGUUGGGAUUUUACUAAGCACAUUGCACUAAAGCUCUCAGAAACGUUAUGGUAUAAAGAUUGUUUCUGAUUUUUGGGUAUGUCACAGAAAAAUAAUUAAAAUUACUACCACUGCUCUUAAUUUUGCUUAUAAAAAAAUGUCCUAGAAAGCAUUUACAAUUUUUUCUUUCAAAAAAUUAAAUUGAAAAAUUGUAUUAACCCAUGAUUAGUUUCGAAUCAAUAGCACCAAAAGCAACAAAAACACAAAAGAAAAAAGAAUAUCGGGCAAGAUUUGGUUCAGCAGUUGCCUCCAUUUUAGACAAAAUCUGAACAUAAAAGUCGUGAGGUUGAAAAUUUCCAAAAACUAAACACUAAACGUAUCCAUAUUCUCUGUGUUUUAGUCACUUUAGAUUCUAAUAUCUUUCUAAUAACUCAUGCUAUCAAACUAUUUACAAAAUUUUAAAAUUCGACCCGUGUUUCACAAGUUAAAGAAGUUCAAAAUAGAAAAAAAAAAAAAAAUACCGAUGCACAAAGCUUAUGAUAACUCAGACAUCAGUUUUUAAAUGUCUCUCUUUAAUAAUAAGAAAGUGCUCGUACCACAAAGCGUUUUAACUCAUUCUUGAGUGUGAUUAAUGCAAUGAAGACAUCGGGAAAAAGAAAGAUGUCAUGUCCCUCCACUUUUUUAUUUUUAUUUUUAUUUUUUAGCAAGAAAGGAUGGGGAUUUAAGAAGUAGGGCAGGGGAUUAAAUUAGGACCUCUAUGAUCUAAGGCCUUAGCCAAAUGUCCCUCCACUUACAUAGGUACUUCCUCAUCAUAUCGAUAAAUUCCACAAUAUGCAUGUCCAAGCUCUUCAAUUAAUUUAUAUGGUUUGAAGAGAUAAUUGCAACAUAAUUAGUACUAAAUUAUAGUAAGCUGCUCGAUUAAUUUAUUGUGGUCACUCGUUAAUCUUAGGCCUAGCUAAUAAUUUUUUUAGAAAGUGAUAUUAAGAAGACUAAUAAGCGAUAUUAGAAAAGGUUACCAAAUUUAAGCUUGUGCACUCGAAAGUUGAAUUUGUGCAUUAAUAAUUUGUUUUAGUUAACUUUGCUUUAAUUUUUCUGCUUUGCAUAUUAUAUUUGUAACAGCUGAACUGCUUCUAUACAUGCUUCGCAUGUUUAAUGACAGGUCUAUGUUUGAAAAAGGAAGCAGCGGGGAUGGGUCGUGGCUUUUCCCGUAUUUCCUUUCAUGUGCAUUUUUCGAACAACGCGUUCUCUCGAAAAAAGAAUACUGGUGAAAGGAUUUGGUUUAAUAGUUGCCUCAGUUUUUAAACAAAGCCUGAGCAUAAAAAGUUCUGAGGCUGAAAUUUUCUAAAAACUAUCAUGUUUGGGUUGCCAUUUUCUAUAGAAAAAUAUACCAUAAUAAUUUGAUGUAUGUGAGAAAAAUGUGGUAACAAAAAACAUAAAAAUUAUUAUGCAAAAAAUUUCAGCCCAAACCAUAGUUAUUAAACCCGGCCCGGCGGUCGAACCGGUCAAACCGGUGGACCGGUCAUUGGACCGGGCCGGGUUUGGAAUCAGAUCGUUUGUGCACAGAGACCGUUGACUUAGUCAACGAUCCAGCGGUCGAACCGGGUUAAACCGGAAACCCGGCCGGUUUUGGCCGAUUUUGUCACUAACUGGAUUUUGUGGAAAAAUUAUUUUGCUAUUGUUGGGACUCGAACUUCCGACCUUUGCUCUCACACUAUCGCUUGCUUACCACCAAACCACUUCCAAAUAUGUUGAUAUAGUAGCUUUAGUAUGAUAUAUAAAUGUUUUUUCAAUUCUAUCUUUUUUUCUCUAAAACAAAUUUGUUUGGAAUCUUUUAAUAAAAAUUUAUUACCCUCCAAACUCUAUAAGUUAUAAAAUGGAUUCCAAAAAUAACAUAUUACAUAAUUCAUUUAAAGACAAAUAUUAUUUUUAAUAAAUUUUUACACUUAAAAUUCAUAAAUAAGCUAGAUAAUUACACUAAAUAUAGAUAAAAUUUUACACUUGAAAUUUGGUAUAUUAAUAAAUAACUUUAUAUUUGAUUGAUUCUUAUAUGAAUUAAUUAUUUUAUAACAAAUUAAAUUAAAUGUGCUUUUGUUAUGACAUUAUUUAUUACAAUUUAUAUCAUAUAUCUUAUAUAAAUAAUUAUGAAAUAUAAUAUUUAAAUAUAUGUAGUGACCCACCGGUUCAACCACUCACCCACCGGUUCAACCAGUAACCCGUUGACCCACCUCCUUCGCCGGGUUCCUUCCCGGGUUGGGUUUAAUAACUAUGGUCCAAACGACAACUCAUGCAACACUACGAUUUUACAAAUUUUAAAAAUUUGAUUCGUGUUUUACAAAUUAAAAACGAGUUUCAAAAUGUAAAAUAAUUAAUGCAUUAAUUAAGUAGAUUGUCUCUUAUUCAUAUUAAUGAGUGUCCAGUAGGUAGUAGUAAAUAGGAAAUGUGUAAUGUUUGAAAUGAGAAAUCCUUUUACUAACAUUACAUUUCCUAUUUACUACUACCUUAUAUUAAUGCCAUGCAGUGUUUUAAUUCAUUCUUAACUGGCUUUCAAAUCAUUAUCUACUACAAGCGGGAGUGUAGUUAAACUGUCUUGUCAGAGCAUUGACAAGGCCCUUUCCCAUGAAAAACGAUCCUCAAUCUUGUAGUACCAAAAAUUCAAUCAGCACCCACAAUAGCUAAGAAACCAAUUUCAACGAAAUUUGACAAAUUGAGAGUACUGAUGAACUGAACAAGAAUUGCAGAAUGUAGAGUCUCAAAGGAAUUGACAAAACCAUUUGCUUCCAAUUCAAUGCUAGUUUAUUCAUACUUUUGAGUUGGGAUCAUACAUACACCCCAGUGGCCCUAUUUGGAUUGCUAUUUUUAAAACUUUUUGUAGGAAAAUGUAUUGUACUGAUUUGAUGUAUGUGAGGUAAAAAGAUAAUGUGUUCAUGAAAAAUGUAAAAAAUUUUUUUUGCAGAAAAUCACAAUUCAAAAUAGGCCGAUUCAUUAACUAAUCCAACCCAAAGAGGUACUAUUGAUUUUCCCCCCCCAAAAAUGGUAUUAUUGGUACUUCAUAACCCUCGUGUGCAACCCUUCUGGUGCUUCAACUCUUGGGAAAUAUCGAAUCUUAUUUUCUCCUAUUUCUUCCCACCUGUAAAAUUGUAAAACAAUCAUCACAAAAAAGCAUUCAGAUUUAAUUAAAGUUGAAGGGCAUCAAUUAUGCAUCAUUUUAUAUUAUUAUCAUUUUUUGGCCUUUAUUUCUAGAACAAAAUAUUCAUGAGUUACAAGCUUGGCAGAUCUCACCUAUACCGGGUCACAAAGUAGUGAAGGAACACCGAAAUUGUGACUAUCCCCAGUUCUUUACCAGGACAAAGCCUACUUCCUCCACCGAACAAGAAGAAAUAACUAUGGGAUUCCAAGCUCAUAUCCUGCAUUGGACCCAAAAAUCAUGUCAUUUUACAUAAAUGUAACUUGUUAUAAAUAGAAUUAUAUAACAAGCCCAACUGAAAGAUUAUUAGUGUCUAACCUGCAACCAUCUCCAUGGAUUAAAUUUGAAUGGCUCAGGAUAAAGGUAUGGGUCGUAGUUGACUUCCCUUGUAAAGACGUAAAUUUUCCAUCCUUUUGGAAUGAGAAAUCCUGAAAAUAACGUAGCAAGUAAAUAGGAAAUGUAGGAGGAACUAGCAUCAUAUCAUUUGUAAAUUGUAAUUUCUGCUGCCUUGACUUCAGCAAUGGCGCUUAGACAACUCUUAGCAUAUGCUGUUAUCUCUAGUUUUGUUUUCUUUUUUGUUCUAUAUCGCACCAUUUAACUCCAUAUCUUUGGUGGCCUUCCUCAAAACACCAUUGACAACGGUAGCCAAUCUCAGGGUUUCAAAGAUGACCUGCAAAAGAC